CUUUCAGCCUCCAUCUUGGCAUAUUUAGCUUUCCUCUCUUCUUCCUGCUGCCGAAGGGCUUCCUGUCGUUCUUCCUCCUUCUUGGCAGCAUCUGGAUCCUUCUCUUCUUCUCCUCCCAGCAUCUUCCCCAUAUCUUUGGUAGCCCCUAAGGAAAGAGUGUGAUGAAAAGGCAAUGUGAGGAGGAACCGAGACACUAAGAAGAACCUUUGUGGGCGAGUACAAUGUUGCCCUUGUGCAUGAGGAGCUGAAUCCAGUUACUUUAUUUUUAAAAAGGAGUCCCACUACAAAGAAGGAGCUUGGAUUCAGAGAAGCCUUUGAAAACAGAAGGAGACAGAAUAAGGUAAAUGUUGCUGAUUUCCCCCACAUGGACCCUCUUGCCAAUCAACAGGUAACUUUAUUUCCAACGCAUGACAGUUUUGCACAUGCUCAUUUCUAAAUCUGUUCUACCUCUCAUCCACAUCAAUCUGUAAUUUAUUUAUUUUAAAAAUGCAUUGCAUAUGUUUUGUUCAGCAUUUCUGUAUACUUUUUAUGCAGUUUUAGUGCCUUUUACCCUAAAAUGCACAUUUUAUAUGCAUUUUGCUGUCUUCUAAAGCAGGGAUGUCCAACAGGUCACUCGCGAUCUACUGGUAGAUCCCUGUGAGGUUUUGGUAGAUCAUGGGUCGAUCACUGGCUACCUUUCCUCAGUGUCAUUGAAACUGACUCCUGUCCCACCCUCUCGCCCAGCCCUCCAUUGUUCUCUGAUCAGUGGAAGGGAAAACAGCUUUCUCUUUGUGGCUGUUUUCAUUCAAAGCGUUAUUACUGUGAGUGACUUUUUCCCUUUGACCCUUGCCUUUAACACCCCCCCCCAAAAAAAUUGAAUUUUCCUCCUAAGAAAGUAUUUGUAUAAAACGGGGCUUUCCUCCUCCAUAAAAAAGGCUCAACAACUCCGACCUGAACCCGUCCCAAAAAUGGGACUUUACUCCUCCCUAAAAAAAACUCAACAACUUUGACCUGAACCCAAAUAAACCUGGGGUAGAUCAUUGCCAGAUUUUAAUACUGAAAGUAGAUCGCAGUCUCUCGGGAGUUGGCCACCCCUGUUCUAAAGCAUUGAAAAAUUCAGAGAAGGGUGAAAACUGAAUGAGAGCUGCUUUCCAAGCUGAGCAUUGGUCAGGGAAAUGCAAAUCAGGUCAGUUUGCUUAACAAUCUGAACCAAGUAAAAUCUUCAAGCAUCCUCAUUGGCCCCUCCCAAGUUAUUCUGGCAUGUCUUCCGUGUCCUCCAGAGUGGAUAUUCAGUGGGUACAGGAAGGAAGGAGAAACCACCCCUUUCCAAAAGUGGACAUCUGCUCACACAACUCUAAAUCCAAUUCAUGCUGAUGUUACUGUGGCUUCGGGAGUAAACCUGGAGGAAAAAUCUUGCCGUGCAUCUUCAGGGAAAGAAAAAGCUAAGGAGUAAACCCUACACAAAUCUCUUUUACCCUUUUACAAGGCCACCACAUAUGAAAUAACAUUCCCUCUACCUCUUUGCAUCUCCAGCACUUAACUGAUUCAGUCUUAUACAUCUUAGUAAGCCUACUUGGAGUUAAAUACCAUCUGUAAAUCAUUUUCAAGUAGUUCUCCUCCAAAGAAUAACAUGCUGUGAACUUCAAGUCACUUUUCUAGAGUUUUUCCCAGAGGUUAAAAUCUAUAUUGUGACCUAUUUCUAUUGCCCAGUUUGUCAUUGAGGCUUUAACAAGCUUGUCCUUUGUUUCCCACUCUAAUAACAAAUUAUACAAUUUAGACAAAAAAUUUUCUUUGUUUUGUAAAAGUUCUUUUUUGAAUUGUGGGCUUUGAUCCAGAAAAUCAUUUUUUUCCUAUCUAAUUUAAACAUUUCAUGUAACUGAUGGUAUUGUAACCAGUCUGGAACAUGGCUCCUUACAUUUUCCAUUGAUCUCAGUUUGAGUCCCCCCACUCCACCCUGUAAUGUACAGCAAUUCCCUGUAGGUUGCCCACGGUCUAUCCAUAUUAACUCUCUUAAUAGAAAUAGCCUUCUUCCCUUCCAGAAGAUUUUUAUAUUUCUCCCAAACUCUAUACAGAUUCUUCCUAAGAAUACAGUUCAUAAAACUUUUAUAAAUUUUCACCUUCCAAUACCAAAGACAUGCAUGCCAGCCAAAUUUUAAGUCAUGACCUUCUAAGUCCAGGAUGUCUGCAUUAUCCAAUGUAAUCCAUUCUGUUAACCAACACAAACAGGCUGCCUCAUAAUACAUUUGCAGGUCUGACAGGGCAAAGCCUCCUCUUUCUUUUAUGUCUAUCAUAAUUUUAUGUUUCAUUCUUGGCUUUCCCGCCCUGCGAGAUAAAUUUAGAAAUAUCCUUCUUCCAUUCUUUGAUGCAGCCUAAAUUAUUUACAACUGGACUUGAUUGGAAUAAAAACAGCAUCCUGAGCAAUAGAUUCAUUAUAAUAGCUGAGAUUCUGCCAAGCAGGGAGAGCUUCAUUUUCUCCCAAAUCUCUAACUCUUUCUUGAUCUCUUUCCACAGUUUAACAUAUAAGUUCAGAUUUCUUACUGUCAGCCAGAGUCUCAAAUAUCUAACUUUUUUACAUAUUUGCAAACCAGACAUUUUUUCUAACACAUUUUUCGACUUAUCAUUCAUGUUUUUCACCAACAUAUUUUUUAAAUCUGAACUUAUUUUAAACCCUGACAUGCUUCCUCAUAUGAUGGACAACAGUCCAUGCAGAAUGGCCACUUAAAGUCCAUAUAUAUAUAUAUAUACAUACACAUUUACAUAUAAUAUGCAUCUGUCCAUACAUAUGGUCAAGGACAAGUAAAUCCUAUUUCUUCCCAUUCCCAAAGAAAGAGAAUAAACGGGGGGGGGGGGGGUUGUGUACUGCCUGAUCAAUGUGCAUAGACUCCAAAUGAUGCUGUCAACUGUGCACAAUCUGGUGGCAUAAACAGAGUAUUUCACCCUUCGCUAGGUCACUAAGCAUAUGGUUCCCUUGAAGAAUAUUCCCUUGAAGAGAUAUUAUGUACAUUUACCAGUAUGUGAAAUUCUCACAUUCUCCAGUAUCACUUGGAGAUUAAGCACAUUGACCAUUCAGUAUGAAAAAUCCUGCUUAAGAUGUUCAUUUGUGUAUGUUCCCCAUAAUGUACAAAAUAGCUGGUAUUGGGGGGGGGGCGUUAUUGGGUUGUUGCUUUUAUUUUGAUUAUGUAUUUUGUGGUUUUAUAUUUUGAUUUUAUUUUGUGAAGUGCCCUGAGACCACCGGGUAUAGGGCGGUAUAUAAAUUCAAUUAAUAAUAAUAAUAAUUUGUGCACAUUCUCUAUUCAGCCCAACAUACACAUAUUGCAGCUCCUGUUCAGUUUUAUGUCUGUACUAGAUAUUUACCCAGAUUUCAAACUAGAACAUUUUAUUUCCUCUGGACUCAGAAGUUAUUAUGGAUUCUGUCUACAUACCCUCCUAAGCUUGAAUUCUCUCUCAGCCUCUCAUGAUGACUUGCGUGCUGGUUUAACAUGCAUGCAUCACUUGGUCUCUCUGGUAGAUUAUAGUGCAUUUGAUGAUUGGCAGCUAGAAAAGGAAACUAGGCUCACAUUGUGAGAAGUGAUGUGAAGUGAUAUAUGAGUUUUAUCUGGGGUGUUAGAUCUGUGGUCUCUCUCUCUCUCACACACACACACGCAGAGGCAAUUCAUCCCCUGAUGUUGACGAAUCUCCUAUCCACUGGCAUCACCCUUCAUCUCUGCUCAGACAGUCAUGAACUGAUUGUACCCAACUAAUAUCAACUGGGUCCAUUCUCAGUGGAAGAGAGACAGCUCACAGGCCGAUAAUUGCACUCUGUAGAAUUUAAUAUGACAGAGGCGUGAUACAUUUGGAGUGAACAGAAAGGCUGCAAAGUGGAAAAUCCUCAGUAGUUUUGUUCAUUUUUCAAUCAAAGCAUUUUCUUUGGAAAUGGUGGCUAUGGAAGGUGGCUGACCCUCCAGUCAUUGGUGGCGUCCAACUCCCAUCAGCCUCAGCUGGUAUUGUUGAUGGAAAGCACCGCUGGGAGCUGACGUCCAGCAAAAUCCGGAGGACUACGGGUGAGAUACCCUAGCUGUAAUAAAUGAGAAUUCUUAAAGAGUUUUCAUUCUGUAUAAGUUGAAGAACUCUUGAAAGAGGAUGUGGACAGAGAAGAUGUCCAAAGCCCUGGUUCACCCAUGAAACCUGUAGGGUGGCCUAGGCCAAGUCUAUGAUAAAGAGCAUGGAAACAGCAUUGGGCUGAGUAGGGAGAUCAUAUUUGGAGAAGGGGGCAGAUGCCUCCAGGAGCAGUGUGGGAAAACUUGCCUUUGAGAUGGUGGUGGUGAUGGUGCUUCUGUUCUUAAGAUGCCUGGAGGUUCUGAACUCAGUUGCGCUUUUGAUAUAAAAAUAACAGUUUCUUUCAUAGGGAGCUGUGUCUGUUUUGGUGAUGCCCAGGGAACACCUCUAAGUUACUGUUACAACACAGCCUCUCAGGUUUUAUGGGAGAUUUUAAACUGGGGGUUUCCUACCUUCCCAGUGAGGUCUGCCAGGCACCAUCAUUAGCAUCCUCGCACUGUCAGGUAAAAAACUUAUCUUCUCCCAGGUAUUUGACAGAAAAGGAUAUUGACAAGCUGGAACAGGCGCAGAGGAAGACGAAGAAGUUGAUAAAAGCUCUGGAAUCCAAGUAUUGUGAGGAACGGUUGAAGGAGCUGAAUAUGUUUAACCUGGAGAAGAGACUGAGAGGUCACAUGAUAGCCACCUUCAAAUAUCUGAAGGGCUGUCACAUGGAAGAUAGGGCAAGCUUAUUUUCUGCUGCUCUGGAGAGUAGGACCUACACAAAUGGAUUCAAAUUACAAGAAAGGAGAUUCCAGCUAAACAUUAGGAAGAACUUUCUGAUGGUAAGUACUGUUCUACAGUGGAAUGGAUCAUGGAAAAGUGGUAGUCUCUCCUUCAUGAGAGGUUUUUAAACAGAGGUUGGGUGGUCUUCUGUCACAGAUUCUUUACCUGUAAUUCCUGCAUUGCAGAAAGUUGGACUAGAUCUCCCUUGGUGCAUCUCCUAACUUUACAAUUCUAUGAUUUUAUUGUUUGUUGGUGGCAUGUUUACACUGCUAUUCAGUUGGGUAUGUUUUAUAGGUUUUUCCCAUGGAUUUUAUCACUUUUUCUGAUUUUAUAGAAUUAUUUUUUAUUAUUAUUAAUAUUAUUAUUAUUAUUCCCCGCCCACCUGGCUGGGUUUCCCCAGCCACUCUGGGCAGCUUCCAACAGAAUAUUAAAAACACGCUAAAACAUCAAACAUUAAAAACUUCCCUAAACAGAUGCCGUCAGAUGUCUUCUAAAAGUCAGAUAGCUGUUUAUUCCCUUGACAUCUGAUGGGAGGGCAUUCCACAGGGUGGGCACUGUCGGACUUGUGUUCGACCGAACGACUCCUCCGGUCGAGCCUUCCAAAUCUCCUCCGACAAUGAUUAACUACCUGAGCCUUUGAUAAGGCUCCAAGCACGUUCCCCCAUUACGCAGAGUAUAUAGCAGCAUGCGGAAGGACGAGAUAGUAUGAGCUACAUGGCUAGGUUUUAUUUCUAUUUAUGCAGACAGAAAAGAAACAUCUUCUCUCUGUGAAAGCAGAGAGCAACUGAAACAAACAAAGGAACAGGAAACCAGUAAACAUCACAUCCAUCUCCUGUCUUCAGUGAGACUUCCAACAGUCUGGAAUCCCUAGAAUGUAAACAGAGUCCUGUGACUCCAAGCAACUGUACAGUGGCACAAACAGAAACUAACAGGCACCACUACCGAGAAGGCCCUCUGCCUGAUUGCCUGAAACCUUACAUCUCUCAGUGAGGGAACCUCCAGAAGGCCUUUGGAGCUGGACCUCAGUGUCCGGGCUGAAUGAUGGGGUGGAGACGCUCCUUCAGGUAUACUGGGCCGAAGCCAUUUAGGGCUUUAAAGGUCAGCACCAACACUUUGAAUUGUGCUUGGAAACGUACUGGGAACCAAUGUAGGUCUUUCAGGACUGGUGUUAUACGAUCUCGGCAGCCACUCCCCAUCAACAGUCUAGCAUUAUGCUCUGUGCAUUAUGAAAUUUGCUUGAGGACUCCUUAUGCAGUAAGCAACAGAUAGAUUGAAACAAUAAUACUAGUAGUAACAACAACUCAUACAUAGAACCAUUGCACAAGGCUAGCACUGUACUAUCUGAAAAUUGCUGGUGGAGGCAUAUCCUAAAUUUAGCAUUUUUAUUUGCACUAGAUAUUUUUGAGUCGGCAAAACUAGAUCAGCUUUAUCUUCGGUUAGUUUAUCUCUGCUUAGAGCUGCCCUGACUGUAAUGAGGUAAGCUGCUCAGGAAACUGAAUUCAGAGAUACAGUGACAGAAGAAAAGAUACGGUUAUUGCUUCUAAGCAUUGCUUUAUAGGCUAUCAUUAUGUCACAACAACACAGCCUUAGCCUGGCUGCUUCUGCUGGCUAAGGUGAGGCUGCAAAUCGUUGUUGCUUCUGGAUAUUGAGGAUAUAAUCCUGUACUAUGAAAAUCAGUGCUAUUGUUGGAGCAUUAAUCCAGCUCUUACAAGCAAUAGCUGGCCGAUCCAGAUUUGUGUUGUAUUUUGUUUUUGUUUAAAGGAAAAAUAAGUAAAUUAAAAGAGGAUUCCUUUGAUGCAUCAGAUCCAGGUUUGGGGCAAGCACUCUCUUGGUGACAGAGCCCCAGCAGAGAUUUAAAAUCAUAAAAUAUGCAGAAAAAUAAAGUGUGGAAAAAUAGGCUGCUAGACAGUUAAAAUAUCCCCUUCUAAGUUGCUUCCAAAGUUUCCCUCUUCCCUUAGCAAAGAAAGAGACUACACAUUUGGUAAGUUUAAAAUGGUUUACUUAUAAACCCUUCAAAGGCACGAUUCAUGUGCUUUUCCAUACAGCAUUAAGAAAAGGUUGCACAGGUAGUAAAACUUGGCUUAGUUUCAGUAGUGAAAGUUCCUAUAUUAUUGGUAAAGGAACUCAAGAGAUGCUUGUUAGAUUCAUGUGGCCUGAGCUUGGAGCAACCAGCUCGGAUCUCUUACCUGACCUGCUCAGGUAGAAAGUGGUACAGCAGUAGAUUUUAGUGCCUUCUUCCCAAGGUGAGGGAGAGUGGCCUAGCUAAGCCUGGCAGGACAGCUAUUCUAUGACAUUAACUCCUUCUUGCUUUACUUAGACUUAAGAAUGUUGGUUAUAUGAAGCUGGUUAGUAAAAGGCAAUAAAGCUUAGGUUCCGAAGUGGUAAAUAUUUCUAAAUUAUUUGUAUAGAAAUACAGUGGAACCUCGGUUCCCGAAUGCCUCUGUUGUCGUACGUUUUGGCUUUCGAACACCGAAAACCCAGAAGUAAAUGCUUCCAUUUUUGAACGUUUUUCAGAAUCCGAAUGUGCAAGAAGCUCUUGCAACCAAUGGGAAACCGUGUCUCAGUUUUCAACCAUUUUGGAAGCUGAACGGGCUUCUGGAAUGGAUUUCGUUCGAGAACUGAGGUACCACUGUACAAAGAUGGCUCAUGAGGUCUGUUUUGGAGCAUUCAGCUUAGAUCUCGCUGGGUUCACAUGGUGGAAAAUGGGAAGAAUAAAGGGUUCCAGGGGUGCCAACUUAAAAAAAUAUGGGGGGGGGUCAGGCAAGCCUCACCCCACUUAAUCAAUCACAAGACACAUACACACACCAUUUGAAUGGCAAUGUCCAUCAACUUUGGGGGAGCCCAGCCCAGACCCCUCAAAUGCUCUGAUUUAGUAGGGACAUCCCAAAUUUACAGGAGUUGGCCCAGCUUCUGAUACCAAUCCAGGCCAUGCAGAAGACAGCAAAAGAGAGGGCAGGGAAGGAGGGGGUGAGCAGGCAGGUGGGCAAGGAAGGGGUCAGCGGCAGAGAGGGGUUGAGCAACAGAGAUGAGGGAUGGUCCAGGGUGCCCUGAAUUUUUCUCACAAAAUGUUGGCAGGUAUGCCAGCUCCCUCAAAUAUGUUAUGGGAGGGCGGAGGGACCUCAGCCCCUAGGAGUUGGAUCCUAUGUGCCCACCUAGCUCAGAUUCCAACUGCAAGGGAGGCCAAAACCUGGCUCAGCUGGGACUCAUGCAACUGGGUGCCUGAACAGUACAGAGGUGAAGGUAAAGGUAAAGGACCCCUGGACAGUUAAGGUCAGUCAAAGGUGACUAUGGGGUUGCGGCGCUCAUCUCGCUUCCAGGCUGAGGGAGCCGGCGUUUGUCCACAGACAGCUUUCUGGGUCAUGUGGCCAGCGUGACUAAACCACUUCUGGUGCAACGAGACACCAUGACAGAAACCAGAACGCACAGAAACACCGUUUACCUUCCCACCACAGCAAUACCUAUGUAGCUACUUGCACUGAUGUGCUUUCAAACUGCUAGGUUGGCAGGAGCUGUGACAGAGCAACGGGAGCUCACCCCAUCGUGGGGAUUCGAACUGCCGACCUUCUGAUCGGCAAACCCAAGAGGCUCAGUGGUUUAGACCACAAUGCAAUAUCCCCACACCCUUAUCUUUUUUAGAUGGGCUUACCACGUUCCCUAGGGACAUGGGUGGUGCUGUGGGUUAAACCACAGAGCCUAGGACUUGCCAAUCAGAAGGUCGGUGGUUCUUUAUCCCCAUGACGGGGUGAGCUCCCGUUGCUCUGUCCCUGCUCCUGCCCACCUAGCAGUUCGAAAGCACGUCAAAGUGCAAGUAGAUAAAUAGGUAUCGCGCCGGUGGGAAGGUAAACGGCAUUUUCGUGCACUGCUCUGGUUCGCCAGAAGCGGCUUAGUCAUGCUGGCCACAUGACCCGGAAGUUGUACGCCGGCUCCCUCGGCCUAUAGAGUGAGAUGAACGCCACAACUCCAGAGUCGGCCACGACUGGACCUAAUGGUCAGGGGUCCCUUUACCUUUUACCACGUCCCCUGGAGCACAUGAACUUCUCAAUGAUGUCUCCUCCAGGUCCAUACAGGAGUGAUUAUUGGGGAUAUAACUCCCUGUGGGCACAGAGGGCCUGCACACCAGGUCUCCAUCUCCUUGCAGAUGCAGGCACCUGCCCUUCGUGUGUGUGAACAGAGGAGUGGAUGGUGCUCCUCAUUUCUAAACCCAUAUGCGUAGAUGACACCUUGGAACAAAAGCACAGUUCCCAGAGUUCUUGUAGAUGCUCUCCAUGUCAGCGAAGACAGAAAAGGCACUUGUUAAUCACAGUGACUGUGGCUCUGUGAUACAUUCCUAAUUGUCAUGUACGCCGUGUACUACAAGGGGUACUAAUGUAGCAUUGUUCUUUAUUCAGCCAUGUUACUUGGGGUGCAAGGGGGGGAUUAAAAUCUUCCAUUCCUCUCCUCCUCCUUACUUUUUUUUUGAAAGAUGCUAUUAAGAGCUACAUUUUUUUUUUUUGGCUGUACAGCAACAAAAGCCCCAAUGAUUAAUUUAUGUUCAGAAGAAAUCCUUGCAAUUAGAACAGCUGUCUAAAGAAAGAGAAGCAAAUUCUAUCUUUUCUCGGGGGCUUUGGGGGAAAGUACCCUCCAAAAAAAGGUCAUGGUUUCCUCUUCCCACCCCCAACAACAACAACAACAAAAGUCAGAGAGAAAUUGUCUAAUUAACUCUCACUGUCAAUCUAUGGCCAAAUGCCCAAGUCUCUUAGCCACUGAAAACCUGCUGCCAUGCGGUCAGGUUCCACAUUGUCUCAGCAACAACUGGUCACAUGGGAUUGUGCAUUCAGCUUGCCAUAUGUAAUGACCCUCGUUCUCUUUUACCUGCCCAGUUUUCUGGGGCUUCUCCUCUCACCCCACACCAAUUUUAGGGUGCAUGAGGGAGGAGAGGAGGAGAAUGUCUUAUUGUGCAAGUCCUUGCCCCUACUUCUGCCCUGAAAAACAAAGCUGCUCCCCUCCUAACUAAGACCUAUCCUUUAAAUCCUUCUUCCACAGCCACACUCAACCCCCAACACCAGAUUCUCAUUCUCAGGAGGGACUGGUCGAGCCCCACCAGUCAGAUGAAUGGAGGAGAACCUGGGUCACAUCUCAAAAGGGAGCAUUAUGAAGUUAGGAAGGGUGGGCUUAGGGAUUCUAAAUAUUUUAGAGGUGAGCAAGGACAUGAGUCAGAGAUACGAAAAAGCAACCUUCCACCUAGUGCUCUCCAGAUGUUAAUAUGUUAUGAACAAUGUCCCCAGGCAUGAAUCAUAUAAUCACAGAUGUGCAGAAUUGGAAGGGACCACGAGGGUCCUCUAUUUCCACUCCAGUGCAAUGCAAGAAUUUAUUUUGUCCAGUGUGGGGCUUGAACACAACCACCCCAAGAUGAAGAGUCUCAUGCUAUGACCUACAACUCCCAUCAGCUCCAGUCAGGAUGUCCAAUGGUCAGGGAUGAUAGGCGUUGUAGUCCACAGAUGCUGUCCGUGUCAGAGACCACCUAUAAACAUAGCUGUCAACUUACAGAUUUGAAAACAAGGGACCAGCAGCCUCGAAAAUAAGGGAUCAGCAGCCAAAAUAAGGGUUCAACAAUUACUUUGAUAAAAUAGAUAUUUUGUUGUGUGCAAAUGGCUUUAGAGACCUAUUAGGUCCAUAAAUUACCAUAUAGCAUAUAUUCAACACACAAAAACAGCAACAAUUUGUUGUUGACAAAGGACAACUGGACAUAGAAAGGGCCCCAUUACCUUCAGUAGCUUAUUUAAGGGACAUCAUCAAUAAGGGACAGCAGUGGGACAUGGCGCUAGGAUAAGGGACUGUCCCGCCAAAUAAGGGACGCUUGACAGCUAUCUGGGGAAGGGUGCAUAAAGCAUAGGAGUUAGGAACAGUGGGGCAGUACGUUUAGGACCCCCAUGCACACGUGCACAUGCACGCGCGCACACCCGCAUACACAGCACAACUGUAUUAGGUUUCCCUUUAACCUCUCCCCCACCCCUGCCACAACUAUUUCAUUAUCUCUCUAAAGCAGCCAGUGUGAUUUUUUUUUUUAUUAAAGCAAAUACCCUUGACAUUUUCAUAAUCAAGCGACUACAUGACAACUCAUUUCCCCCCCUAAAGACUAUUAAAGUUAGACAACUUUUACAUGUCUGGACCUUAAUUGAAGGUCAAUGGAGCUUAUUAAAAGAGCUGAGUCACUGUGGGGUGGGAAGGGUCUCCUUUUAAAAUGAAUAAUUAUUUCGCUUUUCAAAAAAGGAAAAGGAAAAACCCCACAGAUUGAUUUCAAUGGUCGGUCGCUUGGAAGUCUAUUUUCAUUCUCAAAGCUGCUGAAUCUCAGCCCCUUACAGGGUUUGGGAAAUGUCUAUUUAGAACUAUACAACAUUAAGCAGGAGGGAGAAAGCAUAGACUCAGAUAGCUAGUGCUAGUCUUCAAAGCAGCAGCACCUGCCCCCCACAAGCCACAAUCUGCCCCCCUGCUCCCCAAGGCUGCCUCAGGCCAUCCAUUUCCAACAACCCAGCUGCUCUCUUUUCCGCUAGGCACCUUGCAACUGCAACACUGUUCUGUAACUGGCAGGUAAGGUACCUACCUGUGUUCUUAGCUCCAGGAUUAUCAGCCAGCCCUCUGUGACCUAUUAAGGAAGCCCAUUUGGCUGGGAAUCUGUACAAAAGGCAAGGAGGGCCCCCACUUCACAGAACACACCAGCAUCCCCAUCGCAAUAUGUUGCCCAGAAGCAAUUACAUAUGGAGAAGUACUUUACACAAAUUUAAUAACAUUUUUAGGGCCUUAGCUACAACAGUGUUGCCCCAAACCAGCCAUGGUUGCAAUUGGAUAAUGAGAUUCCUUGCCAAGCCAAGCACACACCUGCCUCCCCAUCUCAUCCCAUCCUCCCCAUCUCUUGUUAAUCUUUUAUCCUCGCCCAUCUUGGCACUAUUUUCCUACUUAUCUCACUGAAAACAAAGACUGGGCUUGUUAUAGUGCCACAGAGGUCACAGACCGUAGCAGGGAAAUAAUUGAAUUAAGAGAUGCCUUGUUUCAUCCCAAUAGUUUUGUACCACACAAUUUAGCUGGGGGUUCCCUCUCCCGAAACAAAAUGUUGUUCUACUUGUUGUUAUAACUCAUCUCUUCCAUUUCUGUUACAGUUUGCGGUUAUAAUCAUCUGAACCAAUUAAUGAUGCCUACUUUUUAAUGGGAAUGAGUGGGACUGAGGUUGUUCCAGGCUUUGCUUUAUGUGAAACUAGGGGUGGAAGGAUCUGUCAGUUUCAUUUCUCUCAGUUUAUCAGUAUUUACGUCUUCAGUUCAGAUGUUUUGCAGCUAUCUGCAAUUUUUUUAAAAAAACAAACAAACAUGAAUAUUCAUCAGUACUUUAGUGCAAAUUUCUCCUAAUAAAAACAUUUUACAUGAAGUUUUGACUAAUGCACAUUUUUUACAAGCGGUUUCUACCAGUAUAAUGCAUGUUGUUUGUUACUUUCAGUAACAGAUUAAUUUUUACGCACAUUUUCCUCUAAUAGAUGCAUUUUUGUAAACACUGUUUGACUGACAAACUGCACAGAACAAUCUGGAUAAGGGCAAAUUGUAAGAGAUGUGUUUCAGUUUACAUAUUGUUUUGAAAAGUGCAAAUUAUUGAUAAUUUGGCUUCAAAGAAUUCUGUAGUUUGGAGAGGCUGCUGAGAGAUGUUAGGAGAUCCCUAUUCCACUCCCAGAGCUGUAAUUUUCACAGUGGUUCAACAGUCAAUCCCUCAUCCCAGGGAACUCUGGGAAUUGUAGCUCUGUGAAGGCAGUAGGAAAUCAGCCCUGAGUGCUCACUGGAAGGACAGAUCGUGAAGCUGAGGCUCCAAUACUUUGGCCACCUCAUGACAAGAGAAGACUCCCUGGAAAAGACCCUGAUGUUGGGAAAGAUGGAGGGCACAAGGAGAAGGAGACGACGGAGGAUGAGAUGGUUGGACAGUGUUGUCAAAGCUACCAGCAUGAGUUUGACCAAACUGCGGGAGGCAGUGGAAGACAGGAGUGCCUGGCAUGCUCUGGUCCAUGGGGUCACGAAGAGUCGGACACGACUAAACGACUAAACAACAACGAAGGCAGUAGGGGACUAUUUAAAGUAGAAUGAUACAGUUUUAGAAGUAUACUGCAGCUGAGGCCUUUCUCUUCCCUCUCUACCUGUCAUUUCAAUUCCCUUAUGAUUUCUUAAUAGAGAAGAGCAAAGCCUCCUGAUGUAUGAAUCAUUCAACACACCAAUAUUCCCUAGAUCAGGUAGUCAAUAAAUAAUGAUCAGUAAAAAAGUAAUGGCAUAGACAACUUGGGAGAAAUUAAAUAGUCCCUGCAAGGAGCACAAUGCAAAAUGGAACCAUCAGCAAGAGCAGAUAGCUCAGUCCAUAGAGCAUGAGACUCAAUUUCAGGGUCGUGGGUUUGAGCCCCACGUUGGGCAAAAAGAUUCCUGCAUUGCAGGGGGUUGGACUAGAUGGCACUUGUGGUCCCUUCUAAUUCUCUGAUUCUGUGAAAACAGCCCUACCUCUGGGAUGAGUGACAUAGAGCUGUGCAUGUAGACCAGCGAAAAUGAAGUUAGAUGGCUAGCUUUUUCUGCACAACAAUAGGGCCAGGCUGUGUUAAAAUUCUGUACUCAAGAGGCAAAAUAAAUUCUGCACCAAGACUAGUUGAUGCCUGUGACCUAUAUAAAUUGCACAGUGUAAGCCUAUUAGUAUAAUCCCUCUUCUUUUACACCAUUCACCCGUCAAUUUAUAUUCUGCUGGAUAAGUUAUUCAGAGUCCAUCCGUCCGUCCGUCCAUCCCCCGCCAUUUCUGGGAAAGGACAAGGAGUGAUGGAAAGCUCUGAUCGCUUUGGCUUCUGACUUCAGCAGGUGCACUGCACAGACACUUGCAACCAUAUUGGUGGGAGAGAUUGAUAGUUGCUUUCAAGUCUCCCGCUUAAUGGGUAGGUUUAAAAGACACAGAGCAAACCUCCAGAUGGAAACCUCAGAAAUCCCAGCCUCAGAGUGCUGGCAUCUGCUUUUAUACACCAACUAGGGGUGUAUGGGGUGUCAGGGGAAGCUUAGUACCUCUGGUGGGGAAAAUGUUGUGCUUCUUUGGGGAUAGUUUGUCCACCUUGGGUCCCCAAACUACACUUAGCUCCUAGAAGCUGUCAUCGUGUGACAGUAGCCACUGUUAGAAUUCCUGCAUCACGAUUGCAGUCAUGGGAUUGUUGUCUUUCACAUGACGGUAUAUGUUUUGACUCCACAGAGUGGGAAGUAACGGAGACAGGAUGUUUGUGUUACUGUGUUCCGUGAAGUGGGACUAUUGUCCUUUGUUCUUUUUCUCUUUGCUGUCUGAUGCUAGAGAGAGAGGGAGCCAUGUUGCAGUGUAAAUAAAUAAAGUAGAUUAGCCAAACUGCUGAGUUGCUGAGGUCUGUCACGAAAAGCUGUGAAGACUCUGUGGAUCCCUAAGUGUGCCAGUGUCGGCUGGCAUCAGUCACUGUGAUGUUUGGGCUGAAGAAAGCUUAUGAAGCUCCCGAAUGAUCGACCAAGAGAGAGGGAACAUGCCAGUCAGGCAUGUGUCUCUGCCAGGGUCAAGUGUAGGCUGAACUCCUGACAGCCACACCAUGGGAACAGCUUUGAUUGGCCAGCUAAAUGAGGGGAGGGUAGCUGAUGGGUCUCAAACCCUCAGUAACCCCCCGUAUCAAAGACAGACUCUAGCAAAUUGAGUGGACAAGACCCAUAGUGGGUCCAAUGGUCAAGAAGGCGGUUUCUGAAUGAGUUAUGGGGAGAAAUGAGGGACAGAUGGGGCUCAUCAACUUGGGAAGAUAGCCCAUUCGGAAGAAGCAAAAUUCUGAUCCCAAACCUCUGCAAGCCUGAGGCUGAAGAGUGGGCUGUAGCAUUCUGUAUACAGGAAACAGGGAUGGGAUGAAAAUAAUUUUGGCUUCAGUGUGAAUUUACCUAAUUUGCACCUUCCAAAGCAAUGUGUGAACCUAAGUACAUCUCUCCUUCAAAGCUGGAAUUCCUCCAAAUUGAGCAAUGCAGUGCUCUUACCAGAAAAAUGUACCAAAAUGUGCAUGAAGUGUGCAUAACAAUGCAGAUAUUGGUGAAAAUAAAUGCAUAUUACCUAAAAUUGCUAGCAGAAAUGUGUAGAGCAGGCAAAACUGCCUUCAGAAACAAGUAUAAUAGAAGUGUGCCCCCUUCCCCCCCAAAAAAACCUGCUGCUACUACAGUUCAGUGACAAACUGAACUUUAAGGCUGGGAAAAUGAGAAACUGCGAGAAAGCAAAUUUGACAGAUUUGUCCGGCCGUAACAGCCAUUUCUGAAUGCUCCUUCAUGUUAAAAACAAACAAAAAUUUCUCUCAAGUAAGAAGGGGAAGUGGGGGGAGCCCAAGACAUUAAGAAGACAAAUUCUAGCCCAGCUUGCUCCCUGUUGUCCCAGUUAUCGGCUGGCAGAGAGCUUUCGAUCUAGGAGGAACAUGCCCUCUUUGUCACCCUGCCCAGCAGUCUGAUGUGAUCAGGGUAGUGCCAUAUCAUUGCUGCAUCAUUCUGCUGCAUGUGCAGUUCAGGCCCAAGAUUUUCAGCACAUGAUGCGUCACUUCAGCUGGGGACUAGGGGGACAAAACCCUCCCAACAUUCUGUUUGCUGAGCUAAUGUAACUGUGUUUCCAAGCCACCGCAGGCCUUGGAAAUGAUAAUUUAAGCACCUGACGUGUCACAGUGUGUUUGGCUGGAGGCGAGGAGAACCGCAUGGGUCGUUUCUUCUUCUUUGCUUUCCCCUCACUGAAGCAGCUCAGUUGCAUCACUUCUUACGCCCUAUUUCUGCAUUCUUUUCCAUGUUGGUCCGCACAGGACCUGUCAGGGAGCCGACAAGGAGAGCAGGUCGCUCACAGGUCAGAGGAAAAGAGUGAAACACUUGGCUAACUUACAAUUAGUUUCUUUAUUAAGGAAAGCAGAACAAAGAACACACAGAGACUUCUAAAGGUUGUUCCUGUCUUAGGGAAGCUGUUGUCUGAACUGGCUUGUAGCUCCCACUUCACUCCCCAGCCAUCUGUGUAGGUCCUUCCCUCUGUCUACAGCAAGCCCCAAGGGACCAUCUCUGUGUCAGCCAGGCAGAGGGCCUUCUCAGUAGUGGUGCCUGCCCUGUGGAAUGCCCUCCCACCAUAUGUCAAGGAAAUAAACAACUCUCUGACUUUUAGAAGACACCUGAAGGCAGCCCUGUUUAGGGAAGUUUUUAAUAUUUGAUGCUUUAUCAUGUUUUUAAUAUUCUGUCGCCCAGAGUGGGUGGGGAAACCCAGCCGGAUGGGAGGGGUAUAAAUAAAUUACUACUACUACUAUAGCCCUUCCCCAUCAUGUGAGUAGGUGAGUAGGGUUUUACAUGCCAUUUCCUUGAUGGUGGUCAGCUUUCCUCUGCAACAAAAGAAAUCUUUCCCCUUUCCAUCACCUCAAAAAGGAUCAAUUGUUGUUGUUACUCCUGUUAUAGGGAAAGUACACUUGGCCUGGAUAGCUCUGUUGGUUAGAGUGGGGUGCUGAUAACACCAAGGUUGCAGGUUCAGUCCCCAUAUGGGAUAGCUACAUAUUCCUGCAUUGCAGGGGAUUGGACUCGAGUAUCUUUGGGGUCCCUUCCAACUCUACAAUUCUAUGAUUCUAUGUUUCAGUCUUUCAUUGUGUUAUUGUUGUUGUUACCGUAUUUUUCGCUCUAUAGUAUGCACCCGACCAUAGGACACACCUAGUUUUAGAGGGGGAGAAAAUUCUCUCCCUCUCUGCGCAGCGCCUCUCCUGACUUCAGGUGGCUAUCCCUGAAGCCAGGAGAGUCUUGCUCCCCAGGCUUCAGCAAAAGCAACGCGAAGCCUCCGGAGCGCGGUGGGAGUGCUCCCGCUGGGCUUCAGAGGCUUCGUGUUGCUUUCCCUGAAGCCACAGAGCCUGCAUUCGCUCCAUAAGAUGCACACACAUUUCCCCUUAAUUUUUGGAAGGGAAAAAGUGUGUCUUAUAGAGCGAAAAAUACGGUAUGUGUGUGUGCGUGCGCGAUCCAUUGUUCAGCAUGAGGAUGUUGAACCUGCUGAGAACAAGCUGGUACCCAUAAGUGCAGGCACUGCGUUUUAUGGAUGUGAAAUUUCUCAUUUAUCAUCCACACUUUGGGUAGCAGACCUCCAGGCCCUGCCUCCUUAGUGGCUUCUCUCUAAAAGAUGCACAUCUAAAUGAAGUGGGAUGAAAAUUGGGAUGCAAAUUCUGAGGAACAGGUUUUGUUUGCCCAUGAGGAUAUUGCAAUUCCUGCCUUGCUUACCUUGCCAAGUUGUCCAUAUGCUACCCAGAUACCUUCAAGCAACUCUUUCUCCCCCUAUAGCCAUCUUCAUUUUCUCAGUUACAAAGCCAAAUCAGGAUUCGAGAAGAAAGGGGAAGGCAGGCAAGGGAGGAAAUAGUAGCUCCUUUUCAAGGCAUGGUGAACAGUUAAUUUCUUUCCAGCUCUGUUCCAGCUCAGUUUCGUGGCCCAAAUCAAGAUUUAGGCUGUAGUUCACACAUGAAUGUACAUCCCUUGAUCAUUCAUUUGCAAUUGAAGGUGUAAAACAGAGGUGGGAAACUGUCGCCCUCGAGUUGAGCUCCAGCCCCCAUCAGCCCCAGCCAACAUGAGCAAUGGUCAGGUAUGAUGGGAGUUGUGGUCCAGACAUAGGUUUGCCACUCCUUGUUUAAACUAAGUACAUUGAAGAGCUUGAGUUAGAUCAGACUGUUAGUCACACACUUAGUCCCCACAGAAACAAAUGAGAAACUAAGUGUGACUAAGGCUGCAGUUAGUACCCACUUACUUGGAGUAAGUCUCAUUGUGAAUGUAGACUGGGACUUGGGAGCAAACACAAAAAAAAUAGGACUGGUCUCUGAGUUACUUCCAUGUUACAUACAUAUGUACAGUGGUACCUCGGGUUAAGUACUUAAUUCGUUCCAGAGGUCCGUACUUAACCUGAAACUGUUCUUAACCUGAAGCACCACUUUAGCUAAUGGGGCCUCCUGCUGCUGUCACGCCGCCGGAGCACGAUUUCUGUUCUCAUCCUGAAGCAAAGUUCUUAACCUGAAGCACUAUUUCUGGGUUAGCGGAGUCUGUAACCUGAAGUGUAUGUCACCUGAAGCGUAUGUAACCCAAGGUACCACUGUACUUUCCUUUACAUCAACUUCAUUGGAUUGGUCAUGUUGUCUGGAUGCCUGAUUGUCAUCUUCCAAAGCAAAUACUCUAUUCCAAACUUUAAAAUGGUGAGCAUAAUGCUGGUGGUCAACAAAAGAGGUUCAAAGACUCUCUCUAGGCAAAUCUUAAAAAAUGUAGUAUAAACACCGACAACUGGGAAACACUGGCCGGUGAGUGCUCCAAUUGGAGAACAGCCUUUACCAAAGGUGUCAUGGGUUUUGAAGACGCUCAAACUCAAGACGAAAGGGAGAAACACACUAAGAGGAAGGCACGCUUGGCAAAACCAUGAUCAACUCCCACCUGGAAACCUAUGUCCCCACUGUGGAAGGAUACGUGGAUCCAGAAUUGGCCUCCACAAUCACUUAUGGACUCACUUUUAAAACUGUGUUUAUGGAAGGCAAUCUUACUUGGCUACAAGUGAUUGCCAAAGAAAAAGAAGACUUUCCUUUACACUGACAGUCAGAAAAGGGGCAAAAUUGCAGUCCUGUGCAUGCUUACUUGGGAACAAGCCCCACUAAACCCAGUGUCCCACUAAACUCAGAAUUCAUCCUAUAUUUCCUUUCCCAUGCUGUCAUUUUAUAGCUUUGUUUUUAUAGCGCUUUCUACUUCGUGUUUUGCCUGACAAUUUCUGUGCAGCACAAAAAUGGGAGAAGAGAGCUUUGCUGUGCCAAAACUUUUCCACAACUCAAUUUGAUCAAUAGAGCUGAUUAAAUAUGAAGACAAUGGAUAUGACAGUUAGACCACGGCUAUAAGAUCCUGCAUUUCAAUUUCAAACUCUGCUGAGACCCAAAUGAAACAGUGGAAUGGCAUCAUAUAUCAAAGUUAACAAAACUACCAUAAAAAGUAAAAAAGUAAAAAGCCACCUGUGCUAUAUUCCAUAACUAAGCUGGUGUGGUCGCGAGAAAGAGAAUCGGAUGUCAUCAGUAUACUGGUGGCAACAAACCCCAAACUCUGAAUGACCUCUCCCAGCGGUUUCAUGUAAACGUCAAAUAACAUGGGCAACAGAACAGAACCCUGAGGGACUCCACAGGCCAAUAGCCAAGGCAUCAAACAAUACUCCCGCAGUAUCACCUUCAGAGUUUGCCCCUCUAGGAAGGAACAGAGUCCAUUUAAAGCCUCCAAGUCCCAUCCCACAAAGGCAGCCCAGAAGGAUACCAUGAAAGCCUCUGUAAGGCUAGAUUUUGGCUAGAUUUUCCACUUUUGCUCUAUUGUUUGCAUGCAAUAGGAUUCACUGGGUGAGAAUGCAUAGCUAAGUUGAGAAGGUGACCUUGUCCUUACCUUCAUAGUCCUCAUGAACCUUGUUUGCCUACGUUGCUUUUUUCCCCUAUCGGCUAUGAUGAUGCACAUGUUUUGUUCAGUAGCUUAACUGACAUUCAUGGAAGCUUGUAAACAAAAUCAUGACUGUCACCGCAGCCAGAUUUAAUGGCAGUGUGGGUCAACUGAAGACAUAAACACUGAGCCAAGGAAGAAGAUGGUUCUGGGUACAGAGACAACAUCAAAAUACCAUGGAUGUUUGGGGAAGCCUUUCCUGGUAAUUUGCUCCAUCGGGUCUAAUGUACGACUUUGGAACUGAACAGUGAAAUGGGGGAUUAUUUGGCACAGCCUUAUACAUAAACUACAUUCUGGAUCUGUGGGGGAUCCAACAACCUCUAUGGUGCUAAGAAGAUGUGAUAUUUUGAAGAAGAAGGGGAGAGACUCUUAAAUAACGUCCAUGAGAAUCUCCUGCAAAUUAUGUAAAUGUAGCCCAAAGAGGAAAAUAUGUCAGCAAGUUGUACUGCUUUUCAUUCUACACAAAAGACCAAAGAAUUGUAAAACUUUCCUUCUGCAUGAAAGUCCUUGUAAUUCCCAUGGAUGCAACUCAGCUUCAUUAAACUCAUAGUGGGAUCUGUAUCAUUGACCUCAAUGGAUUACAGCCCACCUAAUGAAACUUUACUAUUUUUAUUAUUGUGUAAGAAGAAGCUUAAUGGCAAUGUGUCUUUUCCACCCACAUCAAUACACCUGACAAUUUCCAAAAAGCAAGGUUGCAUAUGUAAAUCACAAUCCUUCAAUCUAGUUUAUUCAGCCGAGGAGACAGCAACCUGCUGAGGGACCCAGAGUGCUGUGCCGUGGCUUAAAAAACCAAUUUAAAGAUCCUUUGCAAAUGCCUCUCUCUCACCAGGUACUUGGGGAGGGGGAGACACUUUUUUCAUCUCUUGGUGCUUGCUGUCCUUAAAACCUCAGGAAAGCUCUCUCUGCCCUGCUUGGGAAAAUAAGACAGAGAUAGAAAGCUCCUGGAUUCCCACACAGCGACUCUUUGACGUUUUAGAACUACAGUGAAGGACUUUCUUUGGGUAGUUAAUCAAGUCAGGCAAAUUCACAUUUCUUGCCUUUCUGGAUCUGAGCAGAUAAAGAGAUUUUGUGUGUGCAUGGUUUGUGUGUCUGGUUUUUGUUUAAAGACCCUGGAAGACCUGAACUGGGUCAUUUCUCUCUGUCAAAACAGCAGUCCUAUAUUGGUAGAAGAGGCUUUUCCCUCCUUAGCCUUUGGAUAUAUGGGCAAAAGCAAUCUAUUUAAUCGAUGUAGACUCUGGAUAUUUAUUCUACAUAUGUAUAUAGUGUUAUGUGUUUGGGGGUACCCCUAAAUUUCUGGAUCCAGUAAAUAGAAUUUAAUCAAACUUCCUGAACCCCUGGAUCCAACAGGGGUUAAAAUAUAAGCUAGGCUAGUUUCCUGAGAGAUGAGCCAUUAAGAAAACAAAAGGAAGUUGAUGAGCUAUUAGGAAAACCAAAGAAAGAGGGCUCUGUGCCAGAUGGCAAAUGGGAGGGGCUCCUCCUCUAGUUCUGACUUGAGAGGCAAAGACAAAGUUUGAAGCAGAGUUUUAGAGUUGCCUGUGAUGUGAUGUGACCUAGUGGGGAAAGGUUGCAGGUUGUAAAAGGCAGAGCAUGGCGUUAGCUUUCCGCUGUGACCCAAGGCUGUAAUUAUGGGACAAAUAAGACCCUUUGAGAUGUUAAUGCUAUGAACCCCUUCUCAGGCUGUAUAUAUCUGCAAAUAAACCAUAUAUCAUAAAGACACCACAGUCUCCACUGUGCCACAUUUACCCACGAACUCCUGAGUAAAGUGCAUGGAAUCUCACACCGCUCAGAGAUUGGGGUGGUAUGCAACAUUAUUUAUUUUAUUACACUGCUAUCCAAUCUGGUAAGGUAGCCCACCUACAUAGGAGAAGGAAAAUCCUGAGUGGAGUGAAUGGUGCCUUGUACGCCUCCUUCUGGCAAGUCCUGCAGCCAAGCUGGUGCCAAACAUAUUGCUUUGCUUGCCUUUGGACCACAACAGUCAGGCCAAGAGGUCUUGUCAUCUGGGCAGCCCAAGAUCUCCAUACACACUGCCCAGGCUCGUGCCCUGGAGUGGUCACUUGGGUGCUGCUAACACAGCAGUUCAACUUCACCCCCAGAGGCACACUCCAUUGUCUGUUGAGACGGACAGAUGUCAACAAAAACUGAGAUCCAGUUUACAUGCCCCCCAAGUUAUCUGUCACCCAAUAACUGAACCAGGAUUGUGCACACCAUACAUUUAAAGCACAUUUAAAGAAUCCUGGGAUUCAGGGUGGUGCGAGGAGCAGCUUACUUUAAAAGCAUGGUGUGUACAGGUAACAAGUCCACAUCUGCUUUGUUUCUCCAGUACUGAUCAUUCCUAGGCUACCUGUUGGUGUGUGCGGUGACCAUAAGGUCAUGUAUGUUGUUUAGCAGUGACUUCCACUCAGGAAGGCAGUCUGUAAAGAUUGCCAUGAGGCCCAGGUGUCCUGGUGGAGAUCAUUUGCCAUGGAAACAAAAACAGUCUCUGUACUAACACCUUGGGGGAACACCAAUAGAUGUUAUAUCACGGUGAUGAAAGUGGGUAUUGUUGUUGUUUAGUCGUUGAGUUGUCUCUGACUCUUCGUGACCCCCUGGACCAGAGCACGCCAGGCACUCCUGUAUUCCACUGCCUCCCGCAGUUUGGUCAAACUCAUGCUGGUAGCUUCGACAACACUGUCCAACCAUCUCAUCCUCUGUCGUCCCCUUCUCCUUGUGCCCUCCAUCUUUCCCAACAUCAGGGUCUUUUCCAGGGUCUUCUCUUCUCAUGAGGUGGCCAAAGUAUUGGAGCCUCAGCUUCAGGAUCUGUCCUUCCAGUGAGCACUCAGGGCUGAUUUCCUUCAGAAUGGAUCGGUUUGAUCUUCUUGCAGUCCAUGGGACUCUCAAGAGUCUCCUCCAGCACCAGAAUUCAAAAGCAUCAAUUCUUUGGCGAUCAGCCUUCUUUAUGGUCCAAUAAUUAAUAGGUAUUAAUUAUUUCCUCCCUCCACAAAGCUGUGAUUAAGGAAGUGAUGGGAGAGAGGUCCCCUCUGUCCAUUUCUCUGCUCAAAACACACACUCCCAGCUACUUCCGACCAUGGAGAAAAGAUAUGGGUCAGGUGAAGAGGAAAGGGUUAAGCAGCCACCUCUGCCAUUGUGCCACUCAAAGCUCCACAGCUUCUGAGACUGCUUCUGCUUAACAAAUAAUAAUCAGGAGAAAGACAGGUGCCAUUGUGUGUCUGAGCUAGUUUGAUUGUCACACCAAGGCUCACAGUAAACCAACCAAAAGGAUUUCUUCUCUUGCCAUGCAAUUUAGUAAAAAAAAUAUUUUUAUAUAUAAAAAAAUCUCCAAUGCCAAGAAUAGCUGCAAAGCAGCUUGAAAGAAACCCUUACUUCUAAAGUAGGUCACCACUUUUCAAUGACCUUUACAGGCUGCAUAGGAGCAACUCAUUCAGUCCUGGGGAGGAAAAAGUAAGGCAGUCCCGGGGGGAAAUUUAGAUUUUAUUUUAUUGUGCACACUCUUGUUGAGAUUUGUGUAUACUUACUGAUGCAUUUAUCAAUUUAUUUAUGCAAGUAUUUCUGUAGCACCAAAUCACGAAACAAAGGAAGAAUCUGUGAGUUGCAGUUAAGCAUCAAGGCUAUCUAUAGACCAUGUGGACACUCUAAAGCUAUUUUUAUUUCAUCUCCCUUGAAUAUUUCUAUUGAUCUGUGCACUAUGACAAGAUGACCAGACAGCAGAAGAUUUAUGAGCUCAUACUGGUGCUACAAGCCCAGACUUGUCUUAUAAUGGAUUUUUCCCCCCCUCACACAGAAAUGUUCUUGGAAUAUAUUUAUGGGACUUGUCCAUAAUAAAUCAAGGAACUGUUGCCUGAUUAAAUAAAUUAACAGAGCAAUCCUCUUAUGGUGGUGAUAGUGAGAAUCCAUGGUGAAGCUAUCACUCCAUCCUAUGCCCUAGCUCAGGCAUAGGCCAACUCAGCCCUCCAGAUGUUUGGGGACUACAACUCCCAUGAUCCCUAGCUAACAGGACCAGUGGUCAGGGAUGAUGGGAAUUAUAGUCCCAAAACAUCUGGAGGGCUGAGUUUGCCUAUGCCUGCCCAAGCUAUUCAUUUUUCUGUUUCUUUGUUUUUUAAAUUCCCCCUGCAUUGACACCAAUUAUGGGGUAUUAACCAUACCACCUGCAGGGCUAGCACAGUUGUCAAAUCUUUGGAGAGGGGCAUGUCAAGUGAACAAAGCAAAUUUGAAUCUUAUGUAUCCAAACUUGCCCUAAUAUAACCCUCCCACCUCCCACCAGUGGUCCAUCUAUAUUUCACUAUAUGUCACAGUGCUGUCAGACAAGGAAUGUCCUGGUUGAGGAAUGAACUCUUCAUUGUCAAGAGUACACUUACAAGUUAGGGAAAUGCAUAUCCACCAAUCCUAGGCCCCUCUGCAACUCUUAGGUGUGCAGCAACAGAGAGGCCCUGCCCCUGACCUCAGCUUAUGUAUCUGUUCUACAUGUGCUAUGCGCAAGCAGGAGAAGACUGCUUCUAUGUGCAACCUGCUUUUGCUCCUCCCUCCCCAAGUCCUGCCUGGUCCUGGGAGACAGUAGAGCAGGAUAGGUGGGGGCCAGAGGAUAGGUGUGUAAGUCUUUGACUCUACACCUGCCUGACCUAUCUCUCCUUCCUCCUGCUGUGCCUGUUCUUCACUCUCCAAUCCCACAGCUUCUCCUGCCUCUGACUCUCAUCUCCUGGCUGUCCCAAUCUUCUCCAGUUCACUGAUCCCUUCCUCCAAGGCAGUCUCCAGCCCUCCUCCCAGUGCCAACCACACUCCUCAGUGUCCAACCAGUCCCUAACAAAUCCUAGGGCAGAGGUCGGCAAACUAAGGGCUGUGGGCUGUAUCUGGCCCGCAGGGGUGGUUUAAGCGGCCCCCAAGCUGUCCCCGAAUGCUGUUGCCCAGUCGACAAGUUCCUGCGCGCUGCGCUAAACCAACGCAGCGCAGCUCGUGGACUCACUUCCGCGGCGCUGGCGGGGCUUCCUAGCAGCUGCAGGAAGCUCCUGCAGCCAAUAGGGAGCUGCAGAUGCCUCCUUCGUGCUGGAAACAGCAUCUGCGCAUGCACGCACGCAUGCAUGCAGACGCCUCCUCAGUGCUGGAAAUAGCAUCUGUGCAUGCGCAUGUGCACACAGAUGCCUCCUCCGCACUGGAAAUAGCAUCUGCAAAUGUGUGUGCAUGCGCGAGUGUGUGUGUGAUCCAGCCCACAGAGAGAUCUCCGGGGGAGUGGACCGGCCCAGGCUCCAUGAGCUUUGCCAACCCCUGUCCUAGGGGCUCCUCUGGGGUGUAGAUGCCAUCUAUGGGAUGCAGGUGGCGCUGUGGUCUAAACCAAUGAGCCUCUUGGGCUUGCUGAUCAGAAGGUCAGUGGUUUGAAUCCCCAUGAUGGGGUGAGCUCCCGUUGCUCUGUCCCAGCUCCUGCCAACCUAGCAGUUCAAAAGCAUGCCAGUGCAAGUACAUAAAUAGGUACUGCUGCAGCGGGAAGGUAAACAAUGCUUCCAUGCACUCUGGUUUACGUCACAGUGUUCCAUUGUGCCUGAAAUGGUUUAGUCAUGCUGGCCUCAUGACCCAGAAAGCUGUCUGUGGACAAACACCGGCUCCCUUGGCCUGAAAGUGAGAACUGUCCAGGGGUCCUUUACCUUUACCUUUUAGAUGCCAUCUCAUUGGUGGAGCUGUUCUCUUCCAGCAGAAUGGCACUCAUGCCACUUUCUACAGCCUCUCAGGAUUGCAUCCUAAGUUGAUUCAUCAUGCAGAUUUCAAAUGAUUAAUAAGCUGGAGAUGCACAUGGAUCUAAAUAUAUAUUCUCAUUCACUCAUUCAGAAUGGUCCCAUGAUUCUAGCCAUGAGGUGUAGUCAUUUUACCUGUGUGUGUGCACAUUUUGCCAGAGUGGUGGAAGACAAUUCAUUAAAAUCUCAACUGCCAAACGAAAUAAUUGAGAAAGAGAAAAUGCCUAGGAAGACCAAACCCAGCUAAUUCAUCUAAAAAUAAAUCCGUGAUGGAUCAAUGGAAAUUAAUUAUGGGAUGCACAGAAGAAUCUUCCCCUUGUACAAGCCGUCUUCAAAAGAAGGAACUGUUGUUGUUUCUGAUUGUAUGCCUGCAGACCUAAAAGAUAGUCUCACCCCUUAUAUGCCCAACAAAUCACUGCACUCUGCAGGAGAAGGCGUCCCGCAGAUAGCAUCUCACCAGGAGGUCCAUUCCAUAUGAUGGAGAAAUCAGGGAAGGAAUUCAGCACUGCACUUCAGUUAGUAAGGCUUGAAGAUGUGGACAAUGUGCUUGGAUCGGUCAGAACAGCCACUUGUGCACUGCACCCUUGCCCUUCUUGGCUGAUAAGAACUGCCAGCUAGGCCAGGGAGGUGAUUAAUGCCUCCCUGCGAGAGGAAGUGGUUUCUGCCUGCGUGAAGAAGGCAGUGCUAAAACCAUUCCUCAGCAAACCCUCCCUGGAUUUGAAAACUCUAAGUCAGGGUUUCUCAAACUUGGAUCUCCAGUUGUUUUUGGACUACACUUCCCAUCAUCCCUGACCACUGGUCCUACUAGCUAGGGAUGAUGGAAGUUGUAGUCCAAAAACAGCUAGAGACCCAAGUUUGGGAAACCCUGCUCUAAGUAAUUACCAGUCAGUUGCCAAUUUCCCCUUCCUGGGCGAGGUUCUUAAGUGGGUGGUUAUGGAUGAGAUCCAGGUGCUCUUGGAGGAAACUGAUUUUCUAGAUUCAUUUGUUUGCCCUGUAUGGUGAGCUCUGUCAGGAGAGAGACAGGAGAAAUGUGUCCUUGUUAAUUCUCCUCAACCUCUCUGCUGCUUUCGAUACCAUUGAACAUGGUAUCCUUCUGGAGUGACUGUCCAAGUUAGGGGUGUGUGGCACCACUUUUGUACUGCUCCACAAUCCCAUCAGAUAUGUGUAAAACAGGCAUCCCCAAACUCGACCCUCCAGCUGUUUUGGGACUACAACUCCCCAUCAGCCCUAGCUAACAGGACCAGUGGUCAGGGAUGAUGGGAACUGUAGUCCCAAAACAGCUGGAGGGCUGAGUUUGAAGGUGCCUGGUCUAUAAGCACCCACCUGCUGGCAUCCCCUCCAACAGUACGGUGAAAGUUAGAAUUUAUGUAAGACAACCUCUGUGGUGUUAAGAUCUGAAACUGCUUUUAUGUAUGUUUUUAUUGUUAAAUCACUUCAGGAUGUUUCAUGGAAAGUGAUUUAGAAAUGAAAUGAAAUGUAAAUGCAGAAGGGUAUAUUUGAACUUUCAUCCCUAUGUACAAAUUGAACAUGGCAUUAUCAGUUUCCAGUAUUUUGAUUCAAAACUUUGCUGGGCCUCUUGCUUGCAUAUUCCAUCCAUCUACCAACCUGUGAAUCACAUUAAUAGGCUGUGGAUUCACAUCACAAUACAAUAUAAGCAGCAAUUUAAGUUGGAUUACUUGAUAUGUCUACGUUAGAUACUACCAAGGUUCAGACACAUAACUGGGCCAUGAUUCAAUUUGCAUAGAGAAGAAGCAGAUAACAGGCAAAUAAUCUUCCCCUGAACCACACACCUGAUGGGCAAUGCGAAACUAUGCUAUCUUCAGAGGCGUCCAACACAGUGCUGUGUUGAAUGGUUCAGUCUGCCAUGUUGAUUCAAGAUGAAGUCCAAUUGUUUCCAAACAGAGAUUAAAACCCGCUCCUCCAUUUCAGGAACUGCCAUGCCAAAUAGAGUGCCAAUAUAUCCAAAUAAGUGUAGUGGGGAAUAGUUUGAUAUGUCAUCUUCAUUCAAACUGGCGUCCAGCGGUUUCCAAACACAGACCGAAACCUGCUGCUCCAUCUCUGGAACUGUCGUGCCAAAUUGGGCAAAAGAGGCGUCCAUAUUGGUGUAGUUUGGGACAUUUUAGUGUACUACCUUGAUGCACUACAGCAUCUGAUUAUAUCCAAAUGUAGAUAAAACUGGCCCCUUCCUCUUGAGAACCAUCAUGCCAAGUUGGGUGGUGAUAUCUCAGGGGUUUGUCCAAAUGGAUGGAGAACAGAUGGACCAACAGACAAACCGCUUUCCAAAAUAUAUGUAGUAGAUUGAGCCAGUGACCCUACUAACAUCAUUCCUUGCUUUGAAGCUGCAGCAGCAGCAUAUGCCUCAGCCAACCCAACCCAAGGCAUUGUUAUCCAUUUGUAUAGCUCGUGUCUGGGAGCAGACAGUUUCUAGAAGUGGAAGGAGCCUUGCUGUUUAAUUCUCAAGGCAGAGACAAACAGCAGGGGGACACUUCUUGCAUCGCUUCAUCUGUUAUUAUUUCAGCUUCCUGUCUCUAAGGUUUCUAAUAUGUGAGUGGGGGCAGGGGCGGCAGGCAAACAGAACUUAAAAGCCAUUCUGAAAUCAGACCUGGAAAGAGCGGUGAUGUUGCCCACAUUGUGAUCCCAGACAUAAGGGUAAAGCAAAGCAAAAUAGAAAAUCAAGACUGCAUGUGCAAUUUUAAAAAAAGAUAAUCACAUUCCCUCCAACAUUUCUCUGAUGAAAAUAGGGAUGUCCUAUUCCAUAAUGAUAACUAUAAUAGUUUUAUUAUUUAUACCUCACCCACAUAGCUGUCAACUUUUCCCUUUUCUUGUGAGGAAUCCUAUUCGGAAUACAGUGGUACCUCGGGUUACAUACGCUUCAGGUUACAGACUCUGCUAACCCAGAAAUAGUACCUCGGGUUAAGAACUUUGCUUCAGGAUGAGAACAGAAAUCGUGCGCCGGCGGCGCGGCGGCAGCAGGAGGCCCCAUUAGCUAAAGUGGUGCUUCAGGUUAAGAACAGUUUCAGGUUAAGAACGGACCUCCAGAAUGAAUUAAGUACUUAACCUGAGGUACCACUGUAAGGGAAUUUCCCUUUAAAAAAGGGAAAUGUUGACAGCUAUGCUCACCUAUCUGAUUGGGUUGCCCCAGCCAAUCUGGUUGGCUUCCAACAUACAUAAAAACAUAACAAAACAUUAACAUGAAAAAAACUUCCCUAUACAGAAGUCUUCUAAAGGUUGUGCAAUUACUUAUCUCCUUGGCCAUUGGGUCACGAUAACUCCCUACCCUCCAACAUUUCUCCCAUGAAAAUAGGGAUGCCCUAAGGAAAAGCGGGACAUUCCAGAAUCAAAUCAGAAACCGGGACGGCUUCUGUAAAUCCAGGAGUGUCCCUGGAAAAUAGGGACACUUGGGAAGGUCUGUAAUCAUUAUCAUCAUAAAAAGCAAGAAAACCAGACAAAGGAACAAACCAUUUUCCAAAAUACAUAAUAGUUAUUGGUUAGUCGAGAGAUGGGGAACCUGUGACUCACCAGAUGUUGCUGGAGUCCAGUUCGCAUCAUCUCUGAAUGUUGGCCAAACUACCUGAGGGUGUUGGAAGUUGGAGACCAACACCACUUGGAAGGCCCCAGGUUCCCUAACCCUGGGCUAGAGCUUGUUUAAUUAGGGAACCAGUGGACUACUAAUCUAUUUGAAAUGAUCUUGAGAUUGUGUCGAAAGAGAAAUAUUCAAGUAAACCGCAUUCAAACCUAUGCACUUGUAAAAGGGACAGAACAUACGAAUCAUACUUAUUAUAAAGGGAUGCUCUGAUUUGUUUCAAUGUUUAUCUCUUCAUUUCUGCAUUUGCUUAGCUCUCUCACUGAAAUCAAUGGGAUGUCAGUGUAUCAUUUGAGCUGGAUCGUGCCCACGGGUCUUUAAAAACGCCUCUCUCCAAUUAAAACAUCAAAAGCAAUUCCUUUUUUGUGUGUGGCUUUCUGAAACAAGAGUACCAAUCCUGAAGACAUUUUGUGCAAAUUUGAAAUUCAUUUCCACUUCAGGUAAUAUUGAAAAGUAGUGGGGGCACAGCUUUUUCUCCUAAAAAUUAUAGGCUGCCUAUAUCAGCUUGAAAGGAGGCUCCACCAUCUUGCACCUGCCACUGGCAAUUCAUGAGGUUGAGUAGGUGCAGCAGAAAUUGAAAAAUGGUGCCAAGCUACACUUUGCACUGGAGAUCUGUGCUCAGAUUCCCCAUUUUAAAGAAGCAAAGCAAGCAAACUUAAAAGCAGUUCCAAGGAGGAACAAAUUGGAUCAGGGCAGCACCACUGAGGGAGGAGAAUGCUUUACUAUUUUGACCUCACUAUUUUUGCAAUGCCAAUCCUGCCCUCUGCCCUCCUCUCCCCAGUCCUCACUGCCGAUGAGAGAGCAGGGACGGGACUUGGAGGAGAUGGGGCCUAGACGUUGACCAAGGCCUCUUCAUUCCUGACCCAAAAAACUACUGUAUUUACUUGAAUGCCAUGCACAUCGAAUCUAAUGUGCUCCCUUACUUCGCAACAUAAUUUGGCCAAAAAAGGGGUGUGCAUUAGAUUCGAGUAAAUAUGGUAUUAGGGACAUGGGUGGUGCUGUGGGUUAAACCACAGAGCCUAGGACUUGCCGAUCAGAAGGUCGGCGGUUUGAAUCCCCGCGACGGGGUGAGCUCCCGUUGCUCAGUCCCUGCUCCUGCCAACCUAGCAGUUCAAAAGCAAGUCAAAGUGCAAGCAGAUAAAUACCGUAUUUUUCGCUCAAUAACACGCACCCGACCAUAACACGCACAUAGUUUUUAGAGGAGGAAAAUCCGUAGGCAUGCCACCCAUAGGCAUUUCCUCCAUAACACGCACAGACAUUUCCCCUUACUUUCUAGGAGGAAAAAAGUGAGUGUUAUGGUGCAAAAAAUAUGGUAGGUACCGCUCCGGUGGGAAGGUAAACGGCAUUUCCAUGCACUGCUCUGGUUCGCCAGAAGCGGCUUAGUCAUGCUGGGCACAUGACCCGGAAGCUGUACGCCGGCUCCCUCAGCCAAUAAAGCGAGAUUUGCGCCACAACCCCAGAGUCGGCCACGACUGGACCUAAUGGUCGGGGGUCCCUUUACCUUUACCUUUAAAUACAGUAUUAUUUUCACCCUGCUUUUCUGCAUGUGGCCAUACAAAGCAGCUUACGGUAUUAAAACAAUAAAGCAUUAAGGCAUAAAUAAUCAUGCCUUCCUCCUCUCCAAAUGGAGCUGACAGCAAGUUGGAGGUGGGGUGGAAUCAAGCAGUUGGGGGGAAUGGUGUGAAGAGGAAAGGCUUAACCAAUCCUCUGGCUGCCACCGCUGGUGCAGUCCAAUUUCAGGUGCUUGCAGAUGCUUUUAAAAAUAUAUUGGGAGAUCCAGUUGUGGGUCUACAGAGGGCUGUCCAUGCCUCCUCUUUCUGCUACUGAGCCUUGAUCUUCUCUCUGUGCUAGCAGCAGGGAUUUUUAACAUACUCAAACAGGUUGUUUUAUGUCUGCUGGUUUAUUUUAUUUUUAAUUUGCCCAGGUCCUCAUGGGGCAGGUAUUCAAUACGAAGCACUAGAGGAAGGGGAAAGAACAAAUUGAAAGAGUUGAACUGUACAGAACCCCUUGCUGACUUAAUAGAUUAUCUGCUAGUAAAAUAAAGCACACAGCACUUAUGAGUCUCCAAUCCAUUUAUACUCACAUAGGAAAACUCACAGUUUUAAUGAAACAAGAGGCAUUGCUCCAUUGGCUUCAGCUAAAACAAUACAUUUUUGGGUGUGUGCCAGUUUAUUCAGUGCAUUUUGUGAACCAUGCGCAUUGGACCAUGGAUCAAAAGAACAUUUUGCUUUUAGAUAGAAGAAAUCUCCAAUGCUCUUUGUAUCUUGCCCAUUGUGAACUUUUGACAUUUGCUUCCAAUCCUGAAUACAGUGGUACCUCGGGUUACAGACCCUUCAGGUUACAGAUGCUUCAGGUUACAGACUCCACUAACCCAAAAAUAGUACCUCGGGUUAAGAACUUUGCUUCAGGAUGAGAACAGAAAUCGCGUGGCGGCAGUGGGAGGCCCCAUUAGCUAAAGUGGUACCUCAGGGUAAGAACAGUUUCAGGUUAAGAACGGACAUCCAUAACGAAUUAAGUUCUUAACCCGAGGUACCACUGUACCAGACCCUCCAAGUGUCCCUUUUUUCCACAGACAGUCCCGGAUUUACAGAAGCUGUCCCAGUUUCUAAUUUGAUCCUGGAAUGUCCCGAUUUUCCUUUGGAUGCCCCUAUUUUCAUCAGAGAAAUGUUGGAAGAUAUGGUAGGAUUUCCCUAUUUUCAUCAGGGGGUAUGGAGUUAUGCGACCCACAAGCCAAGGAGAUAAGUAACUAUACAAACUUUAGAAGACAUCUGAAGGCAGCCCUUCAGAUAGGGAAGUUUUUUAAUGUUAAAUGUUUUGUUAUGUUUUGAUAUAUGUUGAAAGUCACUCUAGUGUGGCUGGGGCAACCCAGUGAGAUGGACAUGGUAUAAAUAAUGUUGUUGUUGUUGUUGUUGUUGAAUAGGACAUCCCUAUUUACAUUGGCGUAAUGUUGGAGGGCAUGGAAUAUAAAUGUUAGAACUGGACCCUAUAGAAAACCAAACCUUCUGGCUGAGCAACAGCCAAAAGACCUCCCUGCAUUGCUUUUGGGGAAAUGCUGCCAUAAACGUAUGAUCCAAGUCUUUUUUAAUGACUAUUUUUUAAAGUACAAAUGGGGAACCUGCCGUCUUCUAGAUAGUGCUGAGAAAGAAACUCUCAUCAACUCCAGCCAUCAUGGCCAAUGGCCAUAGAUCUGAGUCUGCCAACACCUUGAGGGCCAGAGGUCCCCCAAUCCUGUUAUAAGCUACAAUCCAACAGAUCAGAGUUCACUGCAUUGCUUCACGAUAAUGCAGCCACCACAAUUGCUUUUUGCCUUUGGCUCCAAGAAAUGUCAUGCCAGCAGAGUGAACAGCAUGUAUUUUGGCAUGAGUCUGAACACAAGGCCAUGGGGAGGAGCAAGGUGACUGGGUCAACAUAUGGGAGGGCCAAGAUGGUGGAAAUGAGCAACCCAUGAGGUCUUUUGUGGACUAAUUGAAAGUAUUCUAGUCAAAUGAAAUCACUGGCAGGAUUUGAGAUAUGAGCAGCAGGGGGGUGGAAAUGAUACAAUAAUUGCAUUAGAGAGUGUUUUUUUAAUCACAGAUAAGAAUUUGAUAUACAAUGCAGUAAAAUAAAAACACUGUGGAGGUGUGAGUGGGAAGCCAGCCUAUGAAACAAAGAUGUUAUAUCAUUAUUUGAUUUGAAGUUAAUUUGUGAAAUUCUGAAAAUCUUACCAAAAAUGUAUAUUAAUAAAUGAGCUAGUCAUGUGACCAACAUUAUCCUGUCCUAGCAAGAAUUAAAAGAAAAAGGCUCUUCUGUGACUUGUAGAGACCCUUUCAAGCUACUUGUGGCUACUACUAGUAGUUUCUUAUGUAAUUCCUCAAUUUAAAAUAAGAGGCAGUUGUAGGUGGCUUAACAAAUCAUUUAUUUUGGAACGAGAGAGGAAUUUGACAUUUUUAUGUAUAAACCUCAGUCAACAAUUUACUUUUUUUGUGGUGGCAGGGAUUUUUGAGAAGACUUUCUUAUUUACAAAAAGUGUUAAGUUUUCUCCCAUUAAAUGUCGAAUCUGUUAAAAGGUGCAGGCCACUUGCUUCACAUCACGCUCGUUGUUUGCCGCUGGUGCAUCCAUUUCAGAAGCCCCGCCCCCCCCUCUGCCCACCAAAAGGAAGAAGAGAAUUUGCUGUUGUGGAUUCUAGUGAAAAGGCACUCUGAAAAGACAGAUUUACUUGGGGGACAUGGAUCCCUUUCAUCCUAAUUUUCCGAGCACAAAGAACAAAAUGAGCAACAGUAAGGAAAAUGGCUGCCAGAAUGAGAUUCCUCUUCCGCUCCAAAAGCCUUGUUCUCAAUACAAUGCCUUUCAAACCUUCAAAGACUGCCCCUUUCUUUCAGAGGAGGGAUGAAAGGCAUAAAGCAAAGCACUGCAGCAUAGUCUGCAAGGGAUCAGAUAAAAUUCAGGGGAGACUUCACAAAUGGUGCAAUAUAUAUAUAUAUAUAUAUAUAUAUAUAUAUCCUCAAAAGACUUUGGGUAAUGAGUGGCUAGAGGGUGCUAGGUCAUGCAUCUUUAAGAUGGCUGCUAAUUUUGUUCCUGCUUGCAUCACAUAUGUUUCAUAUAUCCCAGGGGAUAUUGGGAGCAGGGAGAUUCCCCUUGUAUUAUGAAAUUUUUCCAAAUGACCAUUUCCUCCAGGUCUUUUUAAGGGCCAGUGCUGCAGCCUGAGACAGAGUAGCCCCCUCUAUUUCCCCAUUGUUACGUUGUGGGUGAACAUAUCAGAAGACACAGCAAUUCUUCAAACAGCUCUUGUUUAUUCACAGGCCAGAACAGAACUGAACUGAAGGGUUCAGCCAGCCUGCUUAUAUAGAGCUCCAGUACAAAGUAACUGUAGCAACUUUCUGUAACUAUCCAAUCACUGAACGUCACUUUCGAUCCCUUAUUUGCAUAUGUGGACCUGAGUGAAAACUAUCAACAGUAUCCCCCUGCUGGCCCAGGGUGAGAACUUCAGUACAUAACACCCAUGUGCCACCUUCUCCUUCUCACCCCUGCCCCUUUUUGCGGACAACUGAUGUGUAGGUUUGCCAAGGCUUUCCAGGGCCUCCCAAAUGAAAAUGCCUCACUCUGAUGAAUGAUCCUAGGGAAUGUUGGGCCUUUUCAGAAGCCACCUUCAUACCACGCAUUCAAAGCGCCAUGAUAUCACUUUAAACAGUCACGGUUUCCCCCCAGGAAUUAUGGGAGCUGUGGUCUGUAAAGUAUGCUGGAAGUUAUUAGAGUUAUAAGACUGGUGACUGGAAGUGGCCACCUAGAUCAUAUAACACCGUUCCUGAAAGACCUACAUUGGCUCCCAGUACGUUUCCGAGCACAAUUCAAAGUGCUGGUGCUGACCUUUAAAGCCCUAAACAGCCUCGGUCCAGUAUAUCUGAAGGAGCGUCUCCACCCCCAUCAUUCAGUCCGGACACUGAGGUCCAGUGUUGAGGGCCUUCUGGCAGUUCCCCCCUGGCGAGAAGUGAGGUUACAGGGAACCAGGCAGAGGGCCUUCUCAGUAGUGGCGCCCUCCCAUCAGAUGUCAAGGAAAUAAACAACUAUCAGACUUCUAGAAGACAUCUGAAGACAGCCCUGUUUAGGGAUGUUUUUAAUGUUUGAUGUUUUUAAUAUCCUGUUGGAAGCUGCCCAGAGUGGCUGGGGAGGCCCAGCCAAAUGGAAGGGGUAUAAGUAAUAAAUUGUUGUUGUUGUUGUUAGGAAGACCUCCUACCCCCCUCGCAAAACUACAAUUCCCAGAGUUUCUUGUGAGGAGGUAUUGGUUGUUAAACCACUAUAAGUACUGUAGCUCUGGGAGGUGUAUGGGGGGACUCUCAGCACCAUUAAGAAACUGCAAGUCCAAAAAAUUCUUUAGGGGAAGCUAUAACUGUUUAAAGUUGUUUCAAAGUGUUUUAAAUGUUUGGUGUGAAACACUGAGGUGAUAAGACCCCACUUUACUGCAGCAACACAUACCAUUUGAAGUUCAGGAGCAGCAAACCAUUAGAUUGUGAAGUUUAACAGCUUACUGUUGUGAAACUCUAAAUAGUAUUUGUGUCACGGAUAUUAGAUGAAAAAAUAUAUAUCCAUUUGUAUCCUGGAAACCUUAUUAUCCUUUCUCAAGUAUUCUUAUUGCAGUACUUGUGCUUUCCUUAAUAAUUAUGUAAGACACUUGCGGUGUAAAGGUCAGGCCACCAGCAGACACCUAAAAAUGGUGUCAUGAUAGAGGAUAAUCUCCAGGGAACUUUGGAGCAUGGAAAGGUAGUGAGUAGCAUCAGCUGCAACACCAUGGUUACUGGGAGGGAGAGGGGAAGAGGUGAGGUGGUGAGGAGGUCAGCACAAGGUGGGCACAGUGGCAGUUUGGUGGUACAACCCAUAGACUGUUUCACCAGCUCAGUCAGAACUAAGCCAAAGUUUAAUCACCUUACAGGGCAUUAGCUUGGUCACAGUGCAUCUGUUUUUCAUGCAAAAGGUUCAAUCCACAGCGUUUCCAGGUAGGGUGAAAGAACCCUAGGUAAAGGUAAAGGGACCCCAGACCAUUAGGUCCAGUCGUGGCAAACUCUGGGGUUGCAAUGCUCAUCUUGCUUUAUUGGCCAAGGGAGCCGGCAUACAGCUUCUGGGUCAUGUGGCUAGCAUUAUUAAGCCGCUUCUGGCGAACCAGAGCAGCGCAUGGAAACGUCGUUUACCUUCCUGCCAGAGCGGUACCUAUUUAUCUACUUGCACUUCGAUGUGCUUUCAAACUGCUAGGUUGGCAGGAGCAGGGACCGAGCAACAGGAGCUCACCCCGUCACGGGAAUCGAACCGCCGACCUUCCGAUUGGCAAGCCCUAGGCUCUGUGGUUUAACCCAGAGCACCACCCGCAUCCGGGUUUCUUCUGUAGUUCUCCACAAAAUAUUUUUGUGAGCAGGGAUUUUCAGCUCUGAAAAAUAUGAAAGAUUAGGAAAGAUAAAGGCUACUUUGUGUUGAUGAGAUGAGGGUUUGUUUGUCUCAAAGUAGGCAUCUUGUAAAUGAGACUACUCAGCAAAAACAAGCUCACACCUCUUAGUGAGUGUGUAGACAUACUUAAGGUACAUAAGAGCUUCAUUUAUAAUUAUAUUUUGGGAAUUAUUCCUGUUCUUAUGUAGCUGCAUUGUUCUACACUUUCUGGAUCAUAUUAUAAAGUAGUUGUGUUCCAUGUUAUAAAUCAAACACAAGUAUGCCUGCCAGUAUUUUGCAGGAGGCAUUCAAUCGCAUACCAGAAAUUUAUGUUUGCACCAUUUAAAGUGGAUUAAAGUGCUCUGUUGCACUCAAUCCAAUUUAGUAAAGCACGGACCUUUUGCAAUUAGGAAAGUGAUGGUGAAAUGCAUUAAAAAGUGUGGGGUGAUUAAUGGGAAGAUGCAUAGUGGUUAUGCAAGCAAAUCGGGAUGAACGCUCAUUGCUGAGUAGCCUCCCCACAAACAAAUCUAAAUGCAUGCUCAACAAAGACUAGACAUUGUAUACACUCUGCAUGAGCUUCGUGCAAGCAAAUCAGGAUGAAUACUCAACAAACAGGUUGCCUGAAGGAGCCCCAGGAAACACUUUGCCACUUGAAUCUACAGAUGUGAUAAAGUAGUCCAACAUCACUGCGGAAUCAAUAUUACUGGGAGAGUCUGCCUGCUUGUCAGACUGCACUGCAGUCUUCCUCCUGCCAACAGACCGUUCUUUUUCCUGCUCAGCUUGCUGCAUGGAUAGGCAUGUAGAAUAAUAGUCAGUGCAGGCAGAAAGUGAACUUACAUUUAUAUGCCACGCAGAGACUGCAUCUUUCUCUUGGAGGACUGCCAUUGGCCCUAGACUGGUCUAUUUUUGUGCCAUUGGUUUUGGAGAAAAACUGCUCACAUGGUGCAAUGAAAGUGCAUCUGGAUUCCGGAUCAAUAUAUGACUCUACACUAGAUCAAUAUAACAGAAAGCUUAUUCUGUACCAAGGAGUGCCCUUAAAUUCCUGCAAUCAAACGAGACAAAACCAAAUCACACGGUGAGAUUGAAAGAAUACUAUUUAGUGUGACAUGGCGCAUUUCAGUCUCCAGAACACUUCACAUAAAUUAGUAACCCUUGCAAUGACCCUGUCAGGUCAGUGCUAUAUCCCCACUUUGCAGUUAAAUAAUAGAAUCAUAGAGUUGGAAGGAACCCUGAUGAUCAUCUAGUCCAACCCCCUGCAAUGCAGGAAUAUGUAGCUGUCCCAUAUGGGGAUUGAACCUGCAACCUUGGCAUUAUCAGCAAAGAUCACACACGCAAUCUGAUGUAAUACAAAAUGUCACAAUAAUUUUAAAAUAAACAACUCAUAUUAAAUACAGCAGUAUUCUACAAUCCAUUAGAAUAUAAUAGUUGUUGUUUAGUCGUUUUGUCAUGUCCGAUUCUUCGUGACCCCUGGACCAGAGCACGCCAGGCACUCCUGUCUUCCACUGCCUCCCACAGUUUGGUCAAACUCAUGUUCGUAGCUUCGAGAACACUGUCCCACCAUCUCGUCCUCUGUCGUCCCCUUCUCCUUGUGCCCUCCAUCUUUCCCAACAUCAGGGUCUUUUCCAGGAGUCUUCUCUUCUCGUGAGGUGGCCAAAGUCUUGGAGCCUCAGCUUCAGGAUCUGUCCUUCCAGUGAGCACUCAUCAGUUACAAUAAAGAAUUACUAAGCUAUCACCAAUAAAAAUAACGCCAAGUCACAAUGCAUCAGAUACCACAAAACACACAGAACCAUGUGAAAGGAUCAAACUGAGAAAUAAGGACAUACAAUUUAUAAAUUUAUAAAGAGAACAACUCUUCUCUCUUCCCAGUGGCUUCUCUUUAUCUCAAAUUCUUGGUUUGGGAAAGGCUCCAAGGUCUGGAGGGUGGAGCAAGGCCGAUGGAAGAAGCCAUGGUCUGAUGGACAACAGAAAGUCUCUCUCCUCUCACAUCCCUUCCAAGCCCAUGUCUUAACCACUAAGCAGGGCAACCAGCAUAAUCCCUACCUUUUGCCUAGUCUCCAGUUUCUGUAUUAAAUGACUGUAAUCACAAAUUCUUUGUUGCCAGAAGGGCACACACAUUUGGAGAGGCUGUACCUGUGGCCUGGUACCUCCGAGAACUCUCCUAUGUCAGGAGUUAGAGUUGUGACCUUCUCACACCAUAUUAGAGACUGUUUGCCCUCCAACGCUGCUGGAACAUAGAAUUCCAAUUCAUCUUCUUGAUUAUGCCUGAAAGAAAUACACCCAGCAAGGACCUCACCCACCAAAGACACUUCUGGGGGUACUCAGCUUGAAGUGCCUGAUUAGUCACAAUGAAGCUAAUUGGGGGAUGUGCACUUCCAGGUAAGCAGUGCUUAUUUUGCUGAUCAAGAUUAGAAUGCUGAUUACGCUCGGCAGAUCAAACCUUGAUAGAAAUAACACUGAAUGGAGGGUGGGAAAGUGUAUCAUCUUUGUAUUACUAUUUCUAUUAAAGCCUUCAUAAAUUUGUGUUUUGCUUAACAUCGCUACAAAUAACCCAUGGCACUGCAGAGGUUCCUCUAGGAAAGGAAAAAAUAACCUGUAAUGUCUCCUAGAAUUAUAGAAUUUUAGAGUUGGAAGGGAUCCUGGGGAUCAUCUAGUCCAACCCCCAGCAAUGCGGGAAUCUUUUGCCCAAUGUGGGGCUCAAAUCCAUUACCCUGAGAUUCAGUGUCUCAUGCUACAGCAACUGAACUAUCCCAGUUUGGUAUAGGAUCUGUCCAGAGGCAAGGGAAUGAUAAUGAAUUGCAAAUGAAGGGGAAAACUAAUUCUGGCUUGUGUUCUACUCAUUUGGUACUAAAAAUGUGAAACUAAUUUGACCGGAGUGGAUCUCUGGGCAUGUGGUGCAGAGACAAGAGGACUUGAAUGUAUAGCAUUCGCUUGGCAAGCAUUGUAGCAGAACUAGGAAAGAGCACAGAACAGACAAGAGCAGGGUGAUACAUUAUUUCAACAUCCUUCCCUGUGAUUGGAGAGUCCUGCUAAAAUAAUUCAUUCUGAUUAGAAUCUAGACCUGUCAGUUACAAAAUAACUCUCCCUCCUCUACCCGCCGUGGUGUGCUUUUUUAUAUGAUAAAUUAUGGGGACAAAUGUUUGUAUUUUGCACACACACACACACACACACCCCGACUGCAGUGUUUUUAUAGAUCCAAAUCUCUGAAUCGAUUUGAAGCAUUUUGGAGGUCACUGGUUUAGGGCACUUUGGAAAAACCCAGCUUCACACUGUGCAAGUCCUGGAUCUGUCCAAAGCUACCCACUUAAUUUUGGGAUUUAUCCAGUACACACCCCUGUAAUUUAUGCAACAUGACGGAAUCAAGUUCUUUCUUGAUCUUCAUCUUCAUCUUCAUAAUAAUCAUCAUAAAUUUUAAAUUAGUUUUACAUAAAAAUUAUACAUCAUAAACAUAAUAUUUGCACACAUUAAAAAAGAAAAGGAUUCUUUUGAACCUUGAGACCUCUUUCCUUCCCUCCAUGGGUUCCAAUUCUAAACCACUGUGCUGCUUGGACUUGCUGAUCGGAAGGUCGGCGGUUUGAGGGUGAGCUACCAUUGUUUGGUCCCAGCUCCUGCCAACCUAGCAGUUCAAAAGCAUGCAGUGCAAGUAGAUAAAUAGGUACCGCUCUAGUGGGAAGGUAAACAGCGUUUCCGUGCGCUGCUCUGGCUUCGCCAGAAGCAGCUUAGUCCUGCUGGCCACAUAACCCAGAAAAACUGUCUGCGGAAGUGGACAAAUGCCGGCUCCCUCGGCCUGUAAAGCGAGAUGAGCGCUGCAACCCCAGAGUUGUUUGCGACUGGACUAAACUGUCAGAGGUCCCUUUACCUUUACCUAUCUGUUAUAUAAUCAUAGUAUCCAAAAUCCAUGUUACAUUACAAGUGUCAUUGUAUUCCUGCCAAUGAUUUCAACUGUUUACAGUGAUCUCUCAAAUUUGUUAGAAAGUCAUUCCAGUCUUUUAAAAAUACUUGGUCUUCCUGAUUUCUGAUCUUUCCCAUCAGUCUUGCCAUUUCUGCAUAUUCCACCACAUGACCCGGAAGCUGUACGCCGGCUCCCUUGGCCAAUAAAGUGAGAUGAGCGCCGCAACCCCAGAGUCGGUCACAACUGGACCUAAUGGUCAGGGGUCCCUUUACCUUUACAGAAGAAAAGCCCAUGCUCUUAAAGAGAGGAGCAGAUACUGUUUCUGGUUGUAUAUCCACACCACCCUGAAAUGUUUAAAUGUUUCUUUGGUUGUCCUUGACUCUUCCCACCACACUUGCCAUCCUCUCUUGCCACACCAGAGUGAUGCACCACACCCUUUGAGAACCACUGUCAUAAGGAUUGAGCAUGGGACCUUAGAUCCACAUAUUAGGGGAAGAGACGCGGGUGGCGCUGUGGUCUAAACCACUGAGCUUCUUGGGCUUGUGGAGGUCGGCGGAUCAAAUCCGCUCGACGGGGUGAGCUCCUGUCACUUUGUCCCAGCUUAUGCCAACCCAGCAGUUCAAGAGCACAUCAGUGCAAGUAGAUAAAUAGGUACCACUGCAGUAAAUGGCGUUUAUGUGCUCUCUGGUUUCCAUCACGGUGUUCCGUUGUGCCAGAAGUGGUUCAGUCAUGCUGACCACAUGACCCGGAAAGCUGUCUGUGGACAAAUGCUGGCUCCCUCAGCCUAAAAAGUGAGAUGAGCGCUGCACCCCAUAGUUGCCUUUGACUGGACUUAACCUUUUUAGGGGAAGGACUACACGGUCCUCUCAGCACAGGAAUGUUGUCAAGAAGUGAGACCACACGCCAAGUUCUUCUCUUUCCUGCUUUGACCCAUAAUCUUGCCAGACUGAUUUCUUUUCCCUUCGCUAGUGAAUUGUGGUAAAUGGGUAAGACAUCUGGCGUUACAUACCAUGGGCCUCAUUCCCCAAAUGAAAUUGCUGAGCAAUUAAAGCACUGAGACCAAUGCUGAAUCACCUGGUAUUAUGAUACCAGAGUGUUGCAUUUUCACAACCAUGUUGCACCUCACUGGCUGCCCCAGAUAGGAGCAGGGAAAUGUACACUGUGAGGACAUCAUGAGACAGGCAAAAUACCGAGUUACUGGAGAGUAAGUUCCAUUGAACUGAGAGGCACUUAAUUCUGAGUAAAGAGCAUGGGCUUGAGCUGCAAGGCAAAACCCGAUAUGGACUGUGCCCCAGAGUUUAAUGACUCAGCCACUUCACUUCAAGAAUGGGAUAAAUAUGUCACGAGGCCAUGGUCCUAUCAAUUUACCACUAUUUAUUUGUGUAGGGGGCAAAACCAAUUCAGCAGUAUUAUGGUCCAAAAGCAUUAGAACUUUUUAUAGCUCUUUUCACAAGCGGGAUAGCAAAAAGAUCUGUGCUUGGUCUAUUUCCAUCUGUCAAUGAAGAGCGGAGUUUCUCCCUCUGACUCUAAAUAUAUAGGCCAUGUCUGCUAUUGAUCCACGUUUCUUUAAGCUGUGGAGAUCAAGUCACCUCGGUGUGUGGAAUUACUUAGAAAAGCUCAAGGGAUCAGGGGAUAAUUGGAGAAGAAAAAUAAUUGAUGUCAUUUCAGUUCUUUCCCCCUUUUCCUGGAGGAAAGUCAAAUGAUAACUGAAGGACACAGAACUUCUGGAUUGAUGAGGGAGAGAAAAAUAUAUAUCCCUAUCUACCUAAUAUACAAUUUAGCAUCCUUGUUAGAUGGGAGAACGCAUAAAGGAAAGGAUGAAUAGCUUUUGGCUUAAUAUGCUCUUUGGAUCAAAGACAGUUGGCCUAGAAAAGAUGUCACUUUUCGAAAUAAUAAAAAUAAUACAGAACUGGGAUUAUUAGCAACACAAUUUCAGACACUCGCGUUCAAAUGGUGUCAGGGAAGAACUACAGCUAUAUGCAAAAGGAUAUCUGCAAAAGAGCGUCUCGUGAUAAGCCCUCUCUCUAUCCUUUAAUGCAGAGGUUGGUGAUAUGUGGUCCUCCAGAUGUUGGACCCUACUACUAUCAUUCCUCAAAAUUAGCCAUGCUGGCUUGGCUGUUCCUUUUGACUGUUCUGAGCCUACUGCCAAUCAAUGUCAUUGUUUGGCCUCGAGUUGUGGUAUUGUAAGAGUGGGAGAGAAAGGAAACUCUCUGCCUGUUCUCAGUACCUCAUGCAUACUUUAGAAAUCUCUACCAUGUCCUCCCUCACUAGCAAUCUUUCUUCAGAGUGAAAAAGCUUCAAGGACCCUGUCUCUUCCUUGAAGGAGGGGGCUCUCCAACGGUCCAAACCUUCAAUAAUUUUGCCUGCUGCUUCUUUUUGUUGCAUCUGCAUUAAAUGUCCUGCCUCCCUUUCAGCCACCCUAAGGAAUGUGCUCAGUGUUUCAUUUGGGGAAACUCGCCUGCAUUGAUGCAAAUAUUUUUGUGUGCAUUUUGCAUUUGGAACACUGCACAAAGUAUUAGUAUUUCACAUUUGAAAUAUUGCUGAAUGGCGUAUUUUGUGUUUUUGUAAUUGACUUGCUCGGAAAUAUUGCUAUAGAUUUGCCUCUCCCCAAACCAUAAAAAUUAACAAAUGGUAGCAUUUUGAUUAUUUGGGAUAUGAAGGGAGAAAUGUAGAGGAAUUCCUGAGCUAAGCCUUUGCAAAAUGACCUGGCCAAGCUAGGGCCAUUAAGAAACAAUAGAGGGUCAUUGGCGAUGCAAGAGAGCUGUCUUCUCCACUUGUCCUGAGGUGUGAACAGAGACUGGGGGUUGGGAAGGUUGCCAGGGUAACUGGGUGUGAGGUGACAGGAAAAAAGAGUUAUUAGCAGGGUGUUCUGGAAAGAAGAAGGAAGAAGAAAGACUGGGAUCCUCCUUGGGGAGACUGGGAGAGACGUCUUGGACUCGAGUGCUGCACUGCUGUGGUGGACAAUCACCUCUUGAAAUGGCCAUGCUGUAAGAUCUGGACUCCCUCGAUGCAGACUGAAGGUGUAAAUUGGUGAAUAAAUCAUAUUUCUUAAAGCUACAACAGUCUCAGCUGUGUCUCAAUUCUCCAAAGGGACACAGACCCUGAGUGAAUGCUUGGAACCUUAUGGACUUUUGCAACCACUAGGCACCCAACUUUUGUAACAAUAUGUAUUUACACAGCUCUGACUCCAGUUAAAAAAAAAAUUAAAUAUCUCUGCCAUUUGGGGGCACCCCUCUGGUUACUUGUAGCCCAAUCCUAUACGUCUCUAAUCAUAAGUAAGUUCCACUGAGUUCAGUGGGACUUAACACCCACUUAACAAUAUAUAGGAUUUAGUGAUGGAGGAGAAAUUUCGUUCAGUUCAGCUUAAAUUUAAAGGCAAGCUGCUGAACUUGCACUUUCUGAAAUAAUAUGCAAGCCAAAAAAACCCUGCCAGCCUUUGAAAUGAACACUUCUCCAAAUUUUGCAGUGUGGUUCUUCAGGCCAGUAAUGUGUACAGAAAAGGCACAUGACAAUGUAAAGUGUGCUUGCAUUAGGAGGAGUUGCUUUGUGGAAAGGUGUGUAUUAGGCAAAAUCACAUAUUAAAAUUGUGUACAUUAGGAUAAAUUCUCACUAAAAUGCUGAAUUUAUAUCAUGACUUACAACAACAACAAAAGGAAAGUGAUAUAGAAAUGUGGAUAAAUGAGAAAUUGAAAGGAACUGACCUUGAGACAAUCACCUCUCCCUAAUGACAUUGUAGAGAUAAUAUCUCUCAUAAAAUACAUUUGUUUUAAAGGUAAUGAUGUAUUGGCACAAACACUUAUUUUAUGCCAUGAAACUAUAUAAGAAAUGUUUAGAAAACGCAAUCUUUUCUUGGAACCGUUAUCUUCAAAGGAGAAAUAAAGGCUGCCUUUUUUCAUUCUUAGGCUUCUUUGCUGUUGAAAACACUGCUACUGAAUUAUACUAGGUUAGUAAGUGUUAAAUACAUGCAAUACAAAAUGCAAUAUAUUCAACUGUGCCAACAAUGACUGUCUUAAAUCUGUCAGAAGAACUUUUGAUUGAAGCUCCUUUUCCAAACUUGACUGUUAAACAUUCUGGGUUUUUGCUUCUUUAGACAAGUGCCUGAGGCCAAGCUGAAUGUUAAUUUUCCCCUGCAGGUUGUAUAUUGCCAGAUUUUGUCACUAAAUAGCUUGCCACUGUCUGGGAGAAGAGAGUGAGAUGGAUGGUGAGGUGAAAUACAUCAAGUUCGUGAGAGCAGAGUGUUCCUGUGUGAAAGACAUCUGGGGGGGAGAAGCCAUUUGUUGCCCUAGAUUAACAGGGAAUCCAGCUCAUAUCUACUAAGAAGUAAGUCCAACAGUUUGAUGGGACUUGCUCCUGAGAGAGAGUGUAUAAGAUUGCAUGAGCCCUUGCUGGGUUAUCAGAAGGCUACAUUUUGCAAAUUGACCCUUGGACAUUCCAGGUGAUGCAUUUCGUUCAAUAACUUCAGAAGGUACGCUUUUUAUUCUGGCAAUAUUAAAAAAGAGAGAGAUGCUAAAGCCUUAAUAUGUCAUCCAAAAAAGUGGGGGGGGGGAGCAGAGACAUCACCUUGCCAACAAAGGUCCGUAUAGUUAAAGCUAUGGUUUUCCCAGUAGCGAUGUAUGGAAGUGAGAGCUGGACCAUAAAGAAGGCUGAUCACUGAAGAAUUGAUGCUUUUGAAUUAUGGUGCUGGAGGAGACUCUUGAGAGUCCCAUGGACUGUAAGAAGAUCAAACCUCUCCAUUCUUGAAGAAAUCAGCCCUGAGUGCUCACUGGAAGGGCAGAUCGUGAAGCUGAGGCUCCAGUACUUUGGCCACCUCAUGAGAAGAGAAGACUCCCUGGAAAAGACCCUGAUGCUGGGAAAGAUGGAGGGCACAAGGAGAAGGGGACGACAGAGGACGAGAUGGUGGGACAGUGUUCUCGAAGCUACAAACAUGAGUCUAACCAAACUGCGGGAGGCAGUGGAAGACAGGAGUGCCUGGCAUGCUCUGGUCCAGGGGGCCACGAAGAAUCGGACACGACUAAACGACUAAACAACAACGACAACAUGAACUGGGCUCUGCUUUUUAGAUUUUGUUAUUCCACCUCCCACACCAAUAGGAACUACCACUUCUUAAAAGGAGAGCCCAUUUUAAAACAUUAUCUAUUCUGGUAAAAGGCCAGAACCUCAAAAAUACAGUGGUACCUCUGGUUAAGAACUUAAUUCGUUCCAGAGGUUCAUUCUUAACCUGAAACUGUUCUUAACCUGAGAUACCACUUUAGCUAAUGGGGCCUCCUGCUGCUGCCGCGCCGCCAGAGCACAGUUUCAGUUCUCAUCCUGAAGCAAAGUUCUUAACCCGAGGUACUAUUUCUGGGUUAGCAGAGUCUGUAACCUGAAUCAUCUGCAACCCGAGGUACCAUUGUAAAAUAAAAAAAUCAAGAAAAUGAACAAUUGUACCCUUUAUUCUACACUUCAGUAAUCAACAUUUGUCCUUAUUGAUUAGCCAGCAGGAAUAUUACUUGAUUAAUCCACUGAUUAAAAUCCAGUUCUGUGGUUCAGAAAGUUACUAUUUUUAUCUGCACAAAAGAAUACUCAUAAAAGGUAAUUCAGCAAGCUAUUUUCUUUCCUUCCCAAAUAAAAAGAAGUGAAAAAUAUCACAUUAUCCUUAUUCCAAACAUUUCUUACCUAUACCCACCUUAAGUGUCUCAGUAUGGAGUCAGGAAAAUAUAUAAAAUUCCUGUGGAUUAUUCCCACCCCCCUUUUUUUGUAACCAGCCAGAACUCAUGAAAGCAAAAAUGCAGCUCUACUGUUGAUCUUUCAGAUAUUCUCUUUUUUGCUUGUGGUUGUUGGCUAUGACUCAUUGCAGAUGUACUUUGCUUUGGGAAUAUAAACAUAGGCAUCCCAUAACUUUGCAGAGAGAAGCUUCUUUGCCCUGUAAACACAUCCCUGCUGUUUUUGCAGAAUACUAUUUUCUUUCUCUACAUUUUCCACCACAGAGAGUUGAACAUCUGCCGCACAGGCUUCCUUUUGUAGUGUGCAGAGCAGAGCUCUCUCGCCAUCACAAACAGAAGGCAAUCAUUCUUCAUCUUUCCAACUGCUCAGUGAUGGAAUUAGGGAGUGCAUCAGCUCUUGCUUAGCUGAACAGCACUGCCUUUCCUUCUUUGGAGAUGAAGUUUUGGAGGCGUUUCUGAGUUGUUGCACCCCUCGUCAUUAUGCAGAGUUCAGCUGCUGAAAAUCAGGCAUUUCUCUCCUCUUUCAGGUCACACGAUGAACCGUUUCAAAUCCUUUCCCUGGUUUCCUGCCCGCUUGGCAUCUGAUUCCAACAUAAAGUCCAUAUCCUUAAAGGCUAUAAUAACAGUCUCUACAAGUGUCCCUAUUGUCCAGGGACAGUCUCGGAUUGACAGAAGCCAUCCCGGUUUCUAAUUUGAUCCUGGAAUGUCCUGCUUUUCCUUAGGACAUCCCUAUUUUCAUCGGAGAAAUGUUGGAGGGUAUGGAGUGUCAGAGUAUAUUGAUUUAUUGCUCAGAUAAGCGUGAGGUCCGGCACGCUUCCCAUCACAGUCCUCUGCAUUCCAAAAGACCGACACAUCUCAGCAUAGCAGAGUUUCGACAGCGGCAAGAGGAAACUGCAAACUACCAUCCUCAGUUCUCGCUAUCUGGACGCCUAGGUAGAUCUUUACUGCACCCAGGUUCUUGAGCUGAAACCGUUUCCCAAGCUCUUUGGCAAACUUCUGCACCUGUUUGUCUGCCUUUCCAACAUGGAUGAUGUCAUCAACGUAAAACAACACCAGUUCCUGUGAGUCUCCUGAUCCUCUAAGGAACAGGCAACUGUCAGCAAGACUCUUCCUGAAACCUAGCUUCUCCAAAGCUUCAUUCAGGCACAAGUUCCAAUUCCUGGCCGACUGCUUCAGGCCGUAAAUUGACUUGUGAAGUUUCCACACAGUACCUCGCUCAUUGCCCUCAAACCCUGGAGGAGGAAGCAUGUACAGAUCCUCCUGGAGGUCUGAGUUCAAGUAAGCAACAUCCACAUCAAAGUGAUGCACCAGCAAACCUCUUUGUGCAGCGAUGGCCAAGACCAAGCGUAGAGACUCACUCCUACACGUGGGCGCAUAAAUCUCCGUAUAAUGCAACCCCCUGCGCUGCGUGAAUCCUCUCGCCACUAAUCUGGCCUUAUACUGCGGUUCUCCUGUCGCUGUGGGCUUAAGACGGUAAACCCAGCGGCUACCCACUGCCUUUUCACCCACCGGCAACUUCGUGAGGGAGAACACACCUAGAGACUCCAUUGAGUUCAUCUCCUUCUGCAUCGCCUCAUGCCAUUUCCUGGCUUCUUCCUGAGGCAGUUUCUGAACAUCCUCAAAACUCUCGGGUUCACACUGUGCCAUUCCGACCCACACACUAGUGACGGCAAACCUUUCAGGAGGUUUCCCUUGGUCGUCCGUGUUGAACGGCGCAGCACUACUUCAGGAACCCCUCUGACCCACUAGGGCCAGCCAGAACGUCCUUGGCAUCAGAGAGCUCCCCUCUGACUUACUGCGCCUUCUGGACUUCUCAGCCGAACCUGUGGGAAGAUGGAGCACUGCGUUGCUCACUCUUCACAGCCUUGGGAGAAGUUCUCCCCUCUGCCUGCACUGGGCCUGGACUCUGAGCCUCAGUAGCAGGUUCAACCUCUUCCUCUCCUUCAUCAGCAGAGUCUAGCAGACUCUCUGACAGGAUGUCAGGGUUCCCAUGUAUCCUUGCCCAGCCACUCUGCUCACAGAAUUCAGCACUGUUGCUGAGCAGAAUCCUGGACUGAUUCCCUGACGGAUACGCAAACCUCCACCCCUUGGUCCCUGGCUCAUACCCACAAAAAUCAUCUUCUGGGACCUGGGUUCACCUUUCUUGCGUUUGGCCUUUGGUAUGAGGACCCAAGCCUCACAGCCAAAAACGCGGAAGUAGUGCACUUUCGGUUUCUUGCCAUGGAGCAAGAAAUACGGUGUGUCACCUACCACUGAAUUGAACGACCUGUUCAGAAUAAAGUUGGCCGUUCGCCAAGCCUCCCCAAAAACGCUGUGGGAGCCCGGCAUCAAACAAAAGAGCUGCGGACAUCUCCCCUAGAGUCCUAUUCCUGCGUUCCGCGAUCCCAUUCUGUUGGGGACUGUGUGGAGAAGUCAACCUGUGUUGAAUCCCCUUUUGCGGAAGAAACUUUGCAGUGCAGACCCGGUGAACUCCCCACCGCGAUCGCUCUGAAAGUUUUGCACCCGUGUGGAAAACUGCAGUUCCACAGCCGCAAUCCAGUCUUUGAUUAGCGGCGCAGCUUCAUCUUUGCGUCGAAGCAAGAAGGACCAAGAGUUCUGCGUAUGGUCAUCAAUCAGAACCAGCGCAAAUUUGGCUCCGCCCAUACUGCUCACAGAAAACGGACCUGACAAAUCUGCAUGAAUUAACUGAAAAGCCCUAGUGGUCACCCUCUCAGACCUAGGGUAUGUGCACGUUUUCACCUUUGCGGACUUGCACGCUCUGCAAUCUAGAAACUUAGCACAUGAUUUCAUUUUGCACCCUUGCGUAUACUCUGGGAUCCUUUUCACUGACCCCCACGACACGUGUGCCAUGCGUCUGUGCCAGAGAUGUGGCACACGCAUCAUGAACUGGAACAUUGGCACACUGCGCUUGAGCCUCCUCCGUGUCAUCCGUGUCAUCUGGACCUGCAAAAGAAGCAUUUAUCACAAACAACCUGUCUUUACAUUCAACACUGACUAGGUGCUGUCCAUUCUUGGAAAUAGAACACUUAUUGUUCUCAAAACACACUCUGUAGUUCUCAGCAAGAAGUGCACUGACAGACAGCAACGCGCAGGACAGUCCUGGAACAACAAAAGCCUGGAUUGAAUCCUGCAAGAAAGAACAAAACAGUGAGCCAGUCUGCGUGAGUGGGUGUCGAGUCCCAUCUGCUAAACAGACAGUCUUCCCAGAUUUUACAGAGGUGCAGUUCUCCAGGAAUCCAGCAGAUGGCACUAGGUGAUGAGAGGCUCCUGACUGUCGAUCACAAAAGCCAGCACAGCAUCCUGUUGACAACUCUUGACUACAGCCAUAGAGGCAGCCAAAUGUUUACGUUCAGUGUCUCUGCCAGCUGCCUUCGGCUUGCCUUUCCCACGCUUUGAAGAAGAGCUCUUUAUCUGGUUGCUACGGGAGACGGCCUUCGGCUGUUCCUCCACUGGACAUUCUCUCACCAGAUGGGAGGGGAGCCACAGCGAUAACAGCGGCGACGCGUAGCAACAGCUCUCACAGCUCCUUCUUCAGCCAUUCCUUUGUUCCCAGCACCCCCACCUUUGGGUGCACAGCCUGGGCCUGCACGCUCCCCAGCACUCUGGUUGUAGGCCUCAACAUCACACGGCCCCUCGGAGACAAAGCAGCUACUCCCAGCUGUAACUUCAGGAACAUGGCCAGCAGCCCCCUUCCUGCCUGCUCUCGGCUUUCUCCCGGCCCUGGGCUCCUGCUGAGUUCUCACACAGACUCCUCAGCACCUGCCAGGCGGCCUGAGCCGACUCAACGCCCUCCAGGUGGGGCAACAGCAUAGCGUCCACGCUUGCUCUCAACAUGCAGAGCUCCCUUUGCAUUCUCUGCUCUCUAUCUUCCAGCAAAGCAGCCUCCCAGUUCUGCUCCUCCUUCUUCAGCAGCAACUGGCAUGGGUGGGGCCGGCUCCUUCUGGGCUAUAUCCCAGAACCCUGUGGCCAAAAACCACCCCCUGACUCUUCUAACCCAGAUAUCCCAGGACUGGGUUGUGAGCUUUUCAAACGGGACAUCAUAAAAGUCCUGGAGCUCAGCCAUCUCCUCCCCCAGUGCUCCCAUUGGGGCUUUGAAGUACUCACGCGUACCAGCCAGCUUCAAAGGAGAGGCCUCCAGUGGCUCCUUGCAGCACACAGCAUUGCAGCCAGCUUCCCUGCUUUUCUCCCAGGCGAAGCCUCAAAACAGGACUUUUGCCUUCCGGCAGCAAAACAGCAGCUUCUCAGGUUUUUCAGCCUUCUUAAGCACACAGCACAUCAAAACAGGCUUCCUCUAAUUGCAAUUACUGCCCAUAACCUGUCAGAGUAUAUUGAUUUAUUGCUCAGAUAAGCGUGAGGUCCAGCACGCUUCCCAUCACAGGCCUCUGCAUUCCAAAAGACCGACACAUCUGAGCAUAGCAGAGUUUCGACAGCGGCAAGAGGAAGACUGUAAAAAAACUCCAGUGCCUUCUUCAGUGUGCUUAAAUAAAGUCCACACAGGAUCUUAGCAGCUAAAAGCAGUUUUAUUUACAGCAGACUAUCCAUUAUCUAUCACAGCGAACAGCAUCGCGAAAACACGUCCUCUCUCCUCAAAAGCGAAAGUAGAGAGACAGAACAGAGGCUUUAGUCUCUCGGAACUGACGUAGAAGUUCCCUCCCAACAGUAGGCAGGGCGUACACUCUGAGCUGUUUAACCCUGUAAGCUCAGGUUCUCCUCACAUGGAGUCAUGCAACCCCUGACCUACCUGAAGGCAGCCCUGUAUAAGGAAGUCUUUUAAAUAAUGUUUCAUGUUUUAUUAUGUUUUUAUAUAUGUUGAAAGCCACCCAAAGCGGCUGGAGCAAAUAGUGAGGUAUAAAUAGUAAAAUAACAACAACAACAACAACAACAACAAUAACAACAACAACAACAACUUUAUUGUCAUUGUACAACCUGUGUACAAUGAAAUUAAAUGAGCCUCCCUCCCUCCCUCCCUCCCCCAAACACUCAGUCUCGUUGCACUCUGUGUUGCCAUUUCUAUUCCACCUUAAGGAACAGGCAUGUGGAAUUGUUGUGUGUCACAUGUCUGUUUACAUUUCAGCACAGUAUGCUGGGAACUUCCAUUUGUAUAUGGCUUUUGCUUUUGCUGUUCUCUCUGAGACGACAUGAGAGAGAGACGAGAUGUUUCUUUGUUCUGAUUUAUGUUUAAUAAAUCUGUAGUAAUAGUAUGACUUCACAAGCCUCACGCCUAUUCUGUGUGUGCGCUACACUCUGCUAAUAGCGUGCCCUGGGUUUUGAAGUCUGGUUCGCUGAUUUACGUUGGAGCACGGGCCGAUGGAAGGAGACGUCUGAGCUGGGCUUGCCAGCUGGCCUCCCAGCCCUCUGCAUGUCGACACUCUGUGUGCUUAUCGAACAACACACCACCUCACAAUUCCUUGGAGGAAUGCAAUUACAGUGGUACCUCAGGUUAAGUACUUAAUUCGUUCUGGAGGUCCAUUCUUAACCUGAAACUGUUCUUAACCACUUUAGCUAAUGGGUCCUCCUGCUGCUGCCGCGCUGCCGGAGCACGAUUUCUGUUCUCAACCUGAAGCAAAGGUACUAUUUAUGGGUUAGCAGAGACUGUAACCUGAAGCGUAUGUAACCCGAGGUACCACUGCAUUAUGAUUAUGGAAAAGGAUGUCCCUAUUUUCAUCCAUGCCAUAAUGGACACACACACACCCCCACACACACUGUGUUUCUGCUGUAAUCUCUUGGUAUAUUCCUGUUCCAGGCAGACUAGAUGGCCCCUUGGUGUGAGCCAGUGGGACAACUAUUGGAGCUCUGCAACUGGUAGCAGGAACCUGCAGAUCUCUCUCUGCAACCUGCACAAGAUGUUGCACAUGAACAAAUAGGCUCAGCUGCACUGCAAUGCAGAUGGCCAGGCUGUAUUUCUUUCUAAGCUUCACAGCUUCUUGCAGGGAUCCUUGGUUAGUUCUACAACUUACUGCAGAAGUGCAUAUACCUUCACAUCUGCUGUCAAUGCACAGUCCUAGUUGCAUACUAUCAUUUCCCCCAUGGCUUUCUUUGCAUUGAGGCCAAAACUGUCAAAUUGUGUGUGUGUGUUAUCAAUAAAAUAAUUAAUGACAUGCAAGCAAAACAGUCUCUUGAGAAAUGAAGGUUCUGCUGCUUCUCUGUUUUACUAUUGUUAAUGAUCAACACUCAGCACAGUUGUUUCCCCUUUUAAGUUUUUUACAAUUGGUUGGGAGUCACAAAUACAUGAAAAUUUGGCAUCAGAACAGAAGAAAUUUACCAACAGAUGCUGCGAUUCCACAAAUCACUCAUAUCUCUAUCUCUAUAUACACUAUUUCUGCUUGCAAAACAGGUUGUUGAGUCAACUUGCUCAAGACAAUAAUCCCUGCAGGAGACGUUGGAGCUCACGGAACGUCGAUAUACAUACUUCUCUGAUAAGCAGAUUUCAUUUCCAUUUCAUUUCAACGCAUCAAAUUAGGCCAGCACUAACACUUCUUGUCUUGAGUUCUGAAUUGGCAUUGUCUUGUGCCAAUAUGGAAAGAAAUGGACUUCAUUGUCUCCAAACUGUCUCGUUCAGCUUGGUUUUCCCUUCCCAGGACCUUAUGAAAUGAAUCAGUUGGUGCAUGGGACAUGCAAAAUAAUGAUGAUGAUGAUGAUGUUGCAUUAUGCAGCGUUCCAGCCUGUCAGUUGUGCUCUUUCCACAGAAUACUUCAACAUAUAUCCCUUCUACCCUGGUUUUCUGUUCCACUCUGCAUCAGGCAUUCGACAUUCCAGGUCCACUGAGCCUGCUCAGUCCUCACCAGUGGCAUAGCGUGGGGGGUGCAGGGGGGGCGGCCACAACGGGCGCAACAUCCGGGGGGGCGCUCGCACUCGCAGCUCUCUGCCCCUACUAAAAUCCACGGGUUAGGGGGCGCAAAUUACUUGCCUUGCCCCGGGUGCUGACAACCCACGCUACGCCACUGGUCCUCACUGAUAUGUUUGGUCCUAGCCAUUGUGGUUUAGAAAAACAUCAUCCAAUACUGAUUCCCUUUUAUUAUUUCACAGCUGUCUAUCACACUUAGGGAGAGCUGGUGGUUCCAAAAUUCUCUCUCCCCUUCCCCCCCUCGCCUUCGGAUGUGAUGAAAUAUUCUUUUGGAUGGUAGUUAAUGCAUUGAGGUUGAAUCCUGACAAGACAGAAGUACUGUCUUGGGUAUAGGGGGCAGGCAAGUGCGGGGGACUCCCUGGUCCUGAACGAGGUAACCGUGCCCCUGAAUGACCAGGUGCGCAGCCUGGGAGUCAUUCUGGACUCGCAGCUGUCCAUAGAGGUGCAGGUCAAUUCUGUGUCCAGGGAAGCUGUCUACCAGCUCCACCUGGUACGCAGGCUGAGACCCUACCUGCCCGCGGACUGUCUCACCAGAGUGGUGCAUGCUCUAGUUAUCUCCUGCUUGGACUACUGCAAUGCGCUCUACGUGGGGCUACCUUUAAAGGUGACCCGGAAACUACAACUAAUCCAGAAUGCGGCAGCAGGACUAGUGAUUCAGAGUGGCCACCAAGGCCAUAUAACACUGGUCCUGAAAGACCUACAUUGGCUCCCAGUACGUUUCCGAGCACAAUUCAAAGUGUUGGUGCUGACCUUUAAAGCCCUGAACAGCCUCAGCCCAGUAAACCUGAAGGAACCUCUCCACCGCCAUUGUGCAGCCCAGACACUGAGGUCCUCCUCUGAGAGUCUUCUGCUGGUUCUUUCACUGCAAGAAGCGAAGUUACAGGGAACCAGGGAAAGGGCCUUCUUGGAAGUGGCACCCGCCCUGUGGAAACUCCCUUCCUUCAGAUGUCAAGGAGAUAAAGAACUACCCAACUUUUAGAAGACAUCUGAAGGCAGCCCUGUAUCUGGAAGUUUUUAAUGUUUGAUGUUUUAUUUAAAAGGAAACCCAGCCAGAUGGGUAUAACAACAACAACAACAACAACAACAACAAUGUUGUGUUGGCUGUUCAUGCUAACUGCAGACCUUCAGAGAGAAAGAGAGAGUGAGAAAUCAUCCUCUUUUCCUUUGUUUCUUUGUAACUUUCCUUUCCUUUUGGUAUAGUUUGGGGGCUGAGGAGAAGACAAGUAUCAUGCCUCUAGACCAGCGGUUCUCAACCUGUGGGUCCCCAGAUGUUGUUGGACUACAACUCCCAUCAUCCCUGAGCUCUGGCCUUGCUAGCUAGGGGUGAUGGGAGUUGUAGUUCAACAACAUCUGGGGACCCACAGGUUGAAAAAGGCUGCUCUAGACAGAGUUUUUAACACAAUAGGUGAAUGGACACCAUAUUUACAAAUAGUGGAUUGAGCAUGCUCAGUAGACAGAGAAUGCAUAGAAUGCUGACUGAUGGUUGAGGAAGAGGAAUGGAAAAUGGUGGGGAUGGGAUGGAGUAUGAAACUCAUCAGUAUAAAUAUUAUCAUUUAUUAAAUUUCAAUCUGAGCCUUCCUUCCAAAGGAACCCCAGGCAGCAAACAACAAACUAAUAGAAGCAAUGCAGUAAAAAUAAAACAUAUCUAAAGCAUUUAGAAAUGGUUAAGAACAUCUAAAUACAUUUAACUACUAAUUUAGAGGAAGCAGAGAAGUCUCCACAUUUUCUGUAUCUUUCUGGAGGGGAGGGAACUCACAUUUAUUCAAACUACCUUCAAGUGACCUCAGCCUCGUUUUCCAGAAAGUCAAAUCUGAUUGGCCAUGUAUCAUUGGCAUUAAAAACAACUAAUAUCUCAAACUGUAGUCAAACAGGCCCGAUAAAACUGCAGACAUUACAACAGGCCACUCUCCUUUUAUUCAGGCUGUGCUCCCCCUGAUCUGCACACGGUGAAUGGAGGCUUAGCAUAAGGAAGGGCAGAUACAGUCCAGCCAACAGGCAAUUAAUCUGGGGUCGGUGUGGUGUUUAGCAUUCAACUGAGAUUUGCCUUCCUCAGUAACUAAAAUUGUUUAUCCAGCAACCAUCUCUCUGCAAAGCAAUAUGAAUUGGUUCGCUCCCUAUAUCAUCCAUCAGUGAGGCAGAAAGACAUUGUUAUAAACUGGCCAAAGGACUCCCUGCCGUUAGUGCAGCGGGAAACCGGGAACAAUUCUUUACUAAAUGUGUUUUGCAUCUCUCACUAAUUUUGAAAAGGCCUAGAAUUUCGGCAAGGCAGGAAUUAGGUAACUUCUUGCAUCACUUAUUUCCUUCCUGUGCAUCAUGGCUCCUACUUUGCAGAGGACAGUUGUCUGCCUGAAGGGCUGACAGAGGAUAAGCAUCUAUUUCAAAGUGUUCUCUGCUUGGAAUGUUGUCUGGUCCAAGUCCAGUUUGAAGGUUGGGAUUGGCCAGUCUGCCCAUUUCAGUUUAUCCCAGUUUAUCUCAUUUUUCACCUCAUAAGUUCAGUUCCUACACAUUUGCAUGUCAGUGUCCAAACUUUUCUAAUGUCCUCAUGAACAUUCGUCAGCAUUUUAGAGCAAAUUUCUCCUAUUAUACACAGAUUUUUGUGUGCAAUUUCGACUAACAAGCACAUUUUUGCAAAUCAUCCCCACCUAAAGCAAUGCAUUUUUGUAAGUUACCUUCAUGAAUAUAGACACACUUUAGGCCACUAUAUGACCUUUUUUGGCUGGAGAAUUGCAUUGAGAAAUUCUGAUGAAGUGUGAAUUUAGGAAGAUAGCUGUGUUUUGGUUUACAGAUUGUUUCAGAAAGUGUAAGGUUUGCCUUUGAAAUACAAAGUGCAUCAAAAUUCUCCCCCAUCCCUAUUCAAGAUAAAGCGCCAUAAAAAGGAGAGCAGGAGUCUUAAAGCUGCCCCCUGACCGUGCCUGGACAGGCGGCAAUGUCAACAAGCUAGGGUAUUUGGGAGUCCAAUUCUAGUAUCAAUCAAUAAAAACCCCAACACAAAUCCUUGGCUUCUCUUCCUUUUUAAUUUAUAAUGGUUAUUUCCAGGACUGGCAUGUUCCAUUUUGCCACUUGAGUCAAAACAAGAAGUGCCACGCUGCCACUGCUGUCGCCACUGCCACCACACAUGCUGCUGCUGCCAUUGCCAUGGCCCACUCUUGCAGUGUCAUGCGCCCUGCCAGAUGGUGCCAAUUUCAGUCCAGAGAUCCACCUGGGGGCUUCUGCUGCCUGAGGAAGUGGUUUCUCUCUGUCCAAUGGCUGGGCUGGCUCUGGUUAUUUCUGUAUUUGCAUCUAAACAUUAAUUUCAGCAUAUGUGAAUGUGUGCCCUCUUUUGUCCUCCGUUUUGGUGUUUCCCUGUGUUGGUCUGGCUAAAGAUAUUUUUCCGCCUGAGGCAAAAGCCCCCCUGUGAUCUAUACAGGAGUUGACCAGCCUAACAGUUGACUCUAACUUUUGCACUAGCAAUGGAACAGCAUCUUCCCCCAUUGCUAUGAAUAGCCGACUUGGUUACUGGUGAAGGGUAGUCUGUGUGGUACAUUCAGAAGAUCUCUCCUGUGUCUCCCCACCACUCCUCCAAUACCUUGCUGGUCCCGCUAGCAUCUGCCACCUGAGGCAGCUUCCUCACUCUCCCUAAUGGUAAUGCCGGCCCUGGAUAAGGUGACAGCAAUCACCAUGCAGUGCUUCGGAAGAGACAGAGCAAUCUGUAAGUUGAACUAUACCUUCUAUAGAGACAGAGGGGAGAGUUUGAAUAAGUGUUGUCAUUUUCAGCAGCAGGAGUUCCUCUUUCUGCCAUAGGAGUUUGAGCCAUUCAGAUCUCUCUUCAGACUCCAAAUUCACUAGGUGGCUUGGGGGAAAGCUGUAUUCUGCCAGCCUCAGCCUGCAUUUGCAACAUUGGGAUAAGAAUGUCAGUCUACGUUACAGAGUUGUUAUAAGAAUUACUAAGUGAAUGUAUGAGAGAUGAACUGAGCACUUGAAAGGGACACAGUAUAGUUACUGACAGUGCUUUUCUUUUGGGAAAAAAGAGAUGCAGGUACUCACCAUGAAAUUAUUAUAGUAAGUGCCACACUUUUAACCAGUGCUUUUCUUCCAGGAAAAAAAGGUGACAGUACUGCAUACCCUUGAAUACCCCCCAGAAAAAAGCACUGGUUACUGAGCCCAUGUUUGGCACUGUGGUCUAAACCACAGAGCCUAGGGCUUGCCAAUCAGAAGGUCGGCGGUUCUAAUCCCUGCGAUGGGGUGAGCUCCCGUUGUUCGGUCCCAGCUCCUGCCCACCUAGCAGUUUGAAAGCACAUCAAGUGCAAGUAGAUAGAUAGGUACCACUCUGGUGGGAAGGUAAACGGCGUUUCUGUGCACUGUUCUGGUUCGCCAGAAGCGGCUUAGUCAUGUUGGCCACAUGACCCGGAAGCUGUCUGCUGACAAACACUGGCUCCCUUGGCCUAUAGAGCAAGAUGAGCACCGCAACCCCAGAGUCGUCUGCGACUGGACCUAAUGGUCAGGGGUAUCUUUACCUUUACUGAGUCCAUUUUUUGAUAAUACCUCUGUGGUCUGCAGCAUUCCAUGGCCUGGUUCAUAAAUGAGGGUUUUAAUGUCUCACCUGAGAAAUCUUCUGGUCAUUUUUUAACACCGUUGAAAAUAAUGUCUCUGACACAUUGUUUCUGCAGCCUUCCGUUUGUUAAUUAGUGCCAGCCAGUGCCAAGAUUGGUGCUUCUUCUUUGACACCAAUUCUGAUUGGACUUCCCAGGAAUCUUCUCAGCAAUUUUCAUGAAUCCUUAGGUUCCAGCUCAGUGAGUUGGAUGUACUCAGUACCUUUGUAUGUACAGGUGGGAAUAAUCUGGGAUUUAAGGUGCUGCUUCUUAAAAAUCUGACAUUAGAGCAUAGCUUCAUGCUAACUUUUCUUCUGCUGGUGAUGUCCUGGUUGAAGGUGCCCUAUCAGAGCUGGCUGUCUUUUUGGAGAAAGAUCUUAUCUUUUAUGAAGACUGAACUUCAGUAUGGUGUCAGAGUAUUUGAAUAUCUCUAACCUGCUGGUCUGGUAAUCUCUUGCUGCUGUCACUCCAGGCAGGAAGUGGGCAGGUGUCGAGGUAGGGCCUGAAUGCUGCGGGGCAUCGUGGGGGCGACGGCGCUGCACUCAUGUUGGGUCCCCGUUAGGGGAGGCCAGUAUUAAGAGAAGGGAGAGGCUUUGCCCCACUGCAAUAGAGUCCCCUGUGGCAUCUAUUCACAUGUCUGGGGGGAAAGGAAGGAGGUGCAGUCAAGCAAAGUUCUGCAGAAUGUACUAAGCCAAAGGUGGGGAACCUCAAGUCUUUGGGCCAAAUGUUGCCCUCCAGGAUUCUCUAGCUGGUCCUGCUUUGCACUCUCCUUGAGUGUUUUUGCCUGGCUGGAAUCUCUCUCUCUCUCUCUCUCUCUCUCUCUCUCUCUCUCUCUCUCUCUUUCUCUGUCUCCUUCUGUUGCUUAUAUUUCAAAUCCUGCUUGUGAGUUCAUCAAGCUAUAAUAUUUCCUUAAAUAGUCCAAAAAGAGCACACAUUCUUCCACAAAGCAGUCAUCAUUAGAAUCUCUUAUUCUGGCUGUUCAUUUUGCCCUUUCUGCAUCACCUUACUUAUCCAUUCUGCUUCAGUGGGAUCUUCUUCCUUCCAUUUUUGUGCAUAGAGAAUCCAAGUUGCUGUUGUUACAUGCAUAAACAACUUCAUCAUCUUUUUUUAAAAAAAACUUCUGUUCCUAUAAUCCCUAAAAGAAAGGCUUGAAUGUGUAUCUAAUAAUACAUCUUGCUUGUUUGGCUGGAGGAUAAGUACAGGUGUGCGAGUACAUGUAGAAAGUAGCCUACUGAACUAAGGCAACGUGUACAUUCACUGCUCUGCUACUUUUGCCUCCUCCUCUUCCUGGCAUGUUAAUGUGUCUCUCAUCUGAAAAUGUUCCCAACUCCUGUGAUGUGCCCACCUGCUGCCCUUGCUGACCUCAAAUGUCUCAGGUAGGGUAAGAUUUGGCACCCCCAAGCAGUCUUAGUGGUCAUAACUGUUCAUUUGGCUUCAUAUAAGUCAAUGGGACCUUUUGAGAACUAAGCCUACCAACAUUCCAGAACUAAGGUUCCAUGUGUUGGGCACACAUCACUUGGGAAGACAGGCAAACUAAUGCCAGUGUACUGGAAGAAGAUCACCAGUGUCAAAGCAAUGAUUCUUCAACAUCAACUUCAUUGGGUUGGUCAUGUUGUGCGGAUGCCUGAUUAUCGUCUUCCAAAGCAACUACUCUAUUGCAAACUUAAACAUUGAAAGUGUAAUGCUGGUGGUCAACAGAAGAGGUUUAAAGACUCUCUCAAGGCAAAUCUUUUAAAAAAUAUAGUAUAAACAUCAACAACUGGGAAACACUGGCCGGUGAGCGCUCCAAUUGGAGAACAGCCUUUACCAAAGGUGUCAUGGGUUUUGAAGACGCUCGAACUCAGGAUGAAAGGGAGAAACGUGCUAAGAAGAAGGCACGCUUGGCAAACCCUCACCAUGAUCAGCUCCCACCCAGAAACCUAUGUCCCCACUGUGGAAGGAUGUAUGGAUCCAGAAUUGGUCUCCACGGUCACUUACAGACUCUCUGUUAAAACUGCGUUCAUGGAAGACAAUCUUACUCAGCUACGGGUGAUCACCAAAGAGGAAGACAAGCUGGAACAUGACAGAAACCAGGAAUUGCCCCUGCUUUUGACAAUGUCAACAAGCGAAGAGAUCCUGGAACACCAGUGCUGGUGUCAGUAAAUAAAAUCCCUAACAAGAAAUUCCAUUUUGAUGCUAAGGCAUUUCUUUUGACAUUUUUCAAAUGACUGGUGACUAAGGAUAAUGAGGUACUUCUCUUUUAGAUGACUGCAUGAGCUAGAAUUGCUUACACAAAGUAUUGGAAAAUGAAUCCGAUACUUCUGCUCAGAGAAUAGCAUAUUAAAAUAUAGGGUAUCACAAAUUAAAGUUGGCUAUUCAGGCUUGUCAGGAAAUGUGUACUCAAUGUUUGGAACAAAACUGGAAAGGCUUGAAAGUGACAAGCAAAAUCCUAUGAUUGGUCAUUCCUUUCUGCUUAUAUAAGGAGAUUCCCUAAAACAAAUUGGAUGUAUUCAUCUUAAGAAAGAGGAAUGUAAGCAUUGAAUGAACUAUUUAGUUAAAGGAUCAUGUAAUUAGUUAUUUUCCUUGGGAUCUUUGGAUGAAGGGCAGUUUAUAAAUUUAAUUAAUAAUAGUAAUAAUAAUAACAAUUUUGGUGGGUAGUAAAAUGCUGGUACAUGGAGAUUUGUUCGUAUAAAUUGUAAAACAAAAAGUCUCCCACCCAAAAAAACCAGCAACUGUCUUUCAUAUACAUGGAAAAUAUGUCUUUACAACAUUUAUUGGCCCACCCUGUAACAAAUAAGGCUCUUAAAGUGUCCUACAACCUAAAAUCAAACAAGUUAAAAAGCUAAGAACUGUAACAAUAAAAUAUGAUACAGCAGAAAACUCAAAAAGCAUAGAAUGAAAAAUGGACAAAAACAGGUUGAGGAUGCAAUCCUAAAGCUGUAUGAAGACCCCCUGAAUGUAGAAUAAGUAAUACUCUGCCAUCAGAGGGACUGUUAGAAUUCCUGCUCCAUGAUUGCAUCAUGGGAUUUUUGUCCAUCACAUGACGGUGUAUGUUUUGACUCCACAAAGUAGAAAGUGACGGAGACAGGAUGUUUGUGUUACUGUGUUUUUUUUUAAUGGGUUUUCUUUGUUCUUGACAAAGAAUGAAUUGGAACAAAACAUGGGGAACCUUUCACAAAUAAUUGAACUCUCGCCUUCUUUGAUGAAGGGCAAAAACAUAUCAGUGUGUCUAAAUGUUUAAAGAACUUUGAUAAGAACACUUAUCCCCCAAAAUAUAGAUAACCCCUACUGAGAAGCUAAUAUUUCAAUCAGUGUUCUUUAAUAAAGAUAUUUUUUAAAAACCCAGCAGGUUAUUCAUCUAAAAGCUUCUGCCGACAUUUUCAAGUGAUUACUUGCUAUAAAUGUAUUACAUUCCGGGAGAACCCUGAUGGGAAAUGCUAAACGUGUAAGAAUUUCUGGAGACUCUUGUUAGCGCCAGAAGUAGCAGCGAGUCUGUCAGGUUUUCCAUUACAAAACCAUGUUUUCGAGGAGACCUCUGCAGUUUAAAACAAUAUUUCAUGUGAUAGUGUUGGUCAGAUGCCAAGAGUAAGAUGGUCUUAUCAGUACUGCCUUAAAUCGGAACUGGUUUUAAAAACAGAGGCUUCUUCCAUCAACAACUCAAAAUUCCAAAACUAAAAAUAAAACAGAAUUCUGAAUUUGGGAGGUCCAGAGCAACUUUAUCAAUCAAACUACCCAUUCACUUUAUGUGUGACUCCCAAUUAGGGUUGCCAAGCAACAAUAUUAGAAAGACCUUCCAAGUGUGGUUGCACCAUAGAGUUGUAUUUGUCAUUAUGAUAUUGCUAGUCCUGUUUCCAAUCCAUUUCCUGGUGAUCCCUAACAAAGAAUCAAACUUAUUUCACUUGCUGCACUCUUGGUUUACAUUUUCAUUGAGCUAUCCACUGUGGCACCAAGCUCUCUUUCCUAGUCAGUCACUGCCAGUUUAGACCCUAUUGGUUAAGGUUUACUGCCUCACUGUGCAUAAAUGAUAUACUUUCUAAGGAUCAAUGGAUCUGUCAAUUUCACUUCUUUCUGUUUUUCAUUUUUCCAAUAUAAAUUCAGUUCUCCGUAUAUCUGCAGUCAUUUACAAAUGUCUUUUUAAAAAAAAAACCCUACAUGAUUUUUUUCAGCAUUUUAGUUCAAUUUUCUCCUAAUAAAUACUACUGUGCAAAACAAUUUCCCCAAUAAAAUCAUAGAAUCAUAGGACUCUAGUGUUGGAAUGGACCCCAAGAGUCAACUAGUCAUACACAGGGAGAUUCAUAAUGAAGUAUACAGAAUUAUGAACCAUGUUAUUUUCAAUUGGGACGCGGGUGGCGCUGUGGGUUAAACCACAGAGCCUAGGACUUGCCGAUCGGAAGGUCGGUGGUUCGAAUCCCCGCAACAGGGUGAGCUCCUAUUGCUCGGUCCCUGCUCCUGCCAACCUAGCAGUUCGAAAGCACAUCAAAGUUCAAGUAGAUAAAUAGGUACUGCUCCGGCGGGAAGGUAAAUGGCAUUUCCGUGCGCGGCUCUGGUUCGCCAGAGCCAACAUGCAAACCGAAGCACACAGCCUUCCUUCAGAAUUAGAACGCAGUUUUUCAGCCAGGUAAUGUGUGCACAAAUGCAUAUACUAGGGUAAAGUAUGGACAGAUCCUGAAGCUGAGACUCCAAUACUUUGGCCACCUCAUGAGAAGAGAAGACUCCCUGGAAAAAAAACCUGAUGUUGGGAAAGAUGGAGGGCGCAAGGAGAAGGGGACGACAGAGGACGAGAUGGUUGGACAGUGUUCUCGAAGCUACGAACAUGAGUUUGACCAAACUGCGGAAGGCAGUGGAAGACAGGAGUGCCUGGCGUGCUCUGGUCCAGGGGGUCACGAAGAGUCGGACACAACUAAAUGACUAAACAACAACAACAAUGCACAGAAAUACAUUCGUAAUUGAAAAUAGGUAAAGGUAAAGGGACCCCUGACCAUUAGGUCCAGUCGUGACUGACUCUGGGGUUGCUGCACUCAUCUUGCUUUAUUGGCCGAGGGAGCCGGCGUACAGCUUCCGGGUCAUGUGGCCAUGACUAAACAACAACAAACCGCGGGUUAAGAACUUAAUUCGUUCUGGAGGUCCGUUCUUAACCUGAAACUGUUCUUAACCUGAGGUACAACUUUAGCUAAUGGGGCCUCCCACUGCUGCCGCACCGCUGGCUUGCAAUUUCUGUUCUCAUCCUGAGGUAAAGUUCUUAACCCGAGCUACUACUUCCGGGUUAGCAGAGUCUGUAACCUCAAGUGUUUGUAACCUGAAGCGUUUGUAACCCGAGGUACCACUGUAUACAAGAAUGAAUUGUAGAGUGACAGAAUCUCCUCAGGCCAUUGGGAAGCUGAUGGCAGAAGCUCCCUGCCCUGGCUUCCUCACUUCAUCCUUCCCUCAGGCCACACGGAGCUCCAGGAAAUCAUCUUUUCAGGCCAUUAUGGUUCUGUCAGAAGUCAAUGGUUUGUGUGCUUCCUGGCCUGGUUUCCCUCAGUUGUUCUUUCCCUCAGGGCACAUACCUACAAACAGCCAAGUGAGGCCUAUAAGGCACACUCCUUGGAAUAAAGUGCCCUCUGAUGGUGAAAUCUCAUGACUUCAGUGCAAACAGUGUCCAAUGUUUCAUUUAAAUUCUACUCAGUAUUGAUCCAGAGCAGAUUCCAAUGUAUAGUUAGCAGAGUAACAACUUAAACACAUUACAGGAUUCCCCCAAAACAGACCAGAGGCAAUUAUAUUUCAUCCAGCAGAGCUUUACUGUUACUGAAGGCAAAUGAGCAUAAUGGUCACAAAUCCAAUACAUUCAGGAUUGGCACUGUCCAUAAGAAAUCCAGUUGCAGCAGACUUAAGUUAAACUUACAAUAACUGAUAAUAAGUCUUAACCUUAACACUAAGUAUACUAUGUACAGUAUACUAUGUACCACACCAGAAGGAAAAGAGAUAGAAAAAGAACAGUAUAACCCAGACUCCUUCAGUGUGUCUCAGGAUGGUGGGUUUAUUUUUAACAUGCUAUCACCUGUGUGUGGUUUCAAAAUCCUUCUGUUAUCAGCUACAGCAGGGGUGCCAACUUGAAUAAAAUAUUGGGGGGGGGGCAUAGUAAGCCGGGUAAGCCCUGCCCUCAUAAUCAAUCAUAUGAUGCGGUGCACUCACACCAUUUCAAAGGCAAUGCCCAUCAACUUUGGGGUGGCCUGGCCCCCUCAAAUAUUUUAUUGGGGAACCCCUUGGCCCCUACGAGUUGGCUCCUAUGAGCUACAGCAGGCACCCCCAAACUCGGCCCUCCAGAUGUUUUGGGACUACAGUUCCCAUCAUCCCUGGCCACUGGUCCUGUUAGCUAGGGAUGAUGGGAUUUGUAGUCCCUAAACAGCUGGAGGGCCGAGUUCGGGGAUGCCUGAGCUACAGGGUACUUUGUGAGAUUUAUUCUGUCCUUUGGGGUUUUUUUAAUAGGCCAAAGGAUUGGGGUGGGGACGCAAAGCUUCUUUGACCUUCUGGUUCCCUGCUCCCCGCUUUUCUCAUUCAAACAUCACCCUCACAGGUAACUGAUUUUCCUGUAUCCAUUGCAGCAGGGACAGUUCUGAGCACCUGAAACUUGCAGAAGUCUGUUGCCCCUCCUGGCUUGCCAUAUUAGAGACUUCCUGAGUCAGCUCUCAGGCUCUCUGUUUUUAGUUUUGAUUCUGCAUUGCAAGCAGCAGCAUGCUCCACACUUUUCUCCUCCCCAAACUACUUUUCACUGAAGUUGCUUUUGUUGUGCAUCUUCUGAGCGACCUCCUCUUCGCAAUACUUUUCACCAACUCUGUUCGACCCAAGCAUUCAUUUAUAAAUGGAAUAUUACUAAAGCAACACCAGCCGUGGCCUGCCUUCUCCUUGGUGCUAAUGAAAUCAGCGGUGCUGAACUGUGGAAGGAUUUGCUUCUGUAGAACCAACACCCUCACUCCCACCUGCCUGCCUUUCAUUUUGGAUUAGUUUUUAGAAAAACAAAGACACUUCAAAGUGCUAUUUUGGUGCUCCUGGCUGUCCAACUGAGUCACUGUCUGUCAGGCUUGACUCAAGUGCUCUUCAAAAGGCAAAGAACACUACGCUUUUGCCAGAUCUGCUGAAUACGUGCUUGACUGCAUAAAUUGUUACCUCAUUCGCCAGCCCUGUUUUUAUUCACGAGCAUAAUAACAGGUUAGGUGUGACGUGGAAAAGCAGAAAAGAAGAAGUAGAAAUCAGCUAGUGCUUGAACAUUCACUUAUCAGCUAAGUGGGGUUAGGCUUUUGACCUAACUCGAUGGUGUGACAUUUUUAUUUAUGUUAAAGUUGAACAUCCUGCUCUUCGAUUUCUUGGGUUUGUCACGGCUAAAAAUUGGCCGCUGUUUCUUUUAUGUUUAAAAAGCUGGGUCAGCAUGAGUCAGCGGCCUGCACCAGGUUAUAUAUAUAGAGUGAGAAAUGUUAGUUUGUUGUUGGAUUGGUUGGUUGGUUAGUGAAAGCUGGUAGUGUUGAUGUGUGUACAGUUGGUCAGUUGCUUUUGCAGAAAGACUUUUAAGAAUAAAAGCAGACAGUACUCUGCAAGGAUACUCUUUUAUGCCGACAAGGGUCCGAGGACCAGGCUGAGGCGACAAAGGGAGGUCAAAACCCUUUCUUUCUUUUUUUUACAAACACUGACAGGGUUGUAGCCAAUGAAGUCAUCCUGUUACCACAAGGACUUCUGCUUCCACAAUGGGACUUUCUCUCCCACUCUUCCCACCUCCUCAAUCUGCUCCAAAGGCCUGGGGGAACUUCCAGAACAGAUUUGGAGGAGGAGGAGGCAAGGAAGAGCCUGGGCAGCUAACAAUAUCUAAAAAUGCAACAUUAAAAGCACAUUGGAAUCAUAAUAAAAAAUAAAUAAUGCAAGUGUAAAAGGAUCAGUGCCAAAGGACUAUCAGAAGGGUCAGUUUUAUUGUGCUCCAAAGACCCACAAAAUAAAUAGGCCUUGAGGUGACACCAGAAGGAAAAUACUAGGGGAGGGGGGCAACCAGAUAUAUACAGGAAGGGUGUUUCAUAGACAGUGAUGGACAAAGCCUUAUUGGACUGGAACCACCAAAUCCUGGGCAGAAAUCUGUUUUAAACUGCAUCAUCCUCUGUUCCUACCCAGUACUAUGACACUGUGGUCUAAACCACUGAGCCUCUUGGGCAUGGGUAGGCAAACUAAGGCCUGGGGGCCGGAUCCAGCCCAAUCGCCUUUUAAAUCCGGCCUGCAGACGGUCCGGGAAUCAGCGUCUUUUUACACGAGUAGAAUGUGUCCUUUUAUUUAAAAUGCAUCUCUGGGUUAUUUGUGGGGCAUAGAAAUUCAUUCAUUUUCCGCCCAAAAAUAUAGUCCGGCCCCCCACAAGGUCUGAGUGACAGUGGACCGGCCCCCUGCUGAAAAAAAAUGCUGAUCCCUGCUCUUGGGCUUGCCAGUCAGAAAGUCAGCUGUUCGAAUCCUCGUGGUGGGGUGAGCUCCCAUUGCUCUUUCACAGAUCCUGCCAACCUAGCAGUUCAAAAGCACACCAGUGCAAGCAAAUAAAUAGGUACCGCUGCAGCAGGAAGGUAAACAGCAUUUCCGUGCACUCUGGUUUCUGUCACUGUGUCCCAUUGUGCCAGAAGUGGUUUAGUCAUGCUGGUCACAUGACCCAGAAAGCUGUCUGUGGACAAACACUGGCUCCUUCUGCCUGAAAGUGAGAUGAGCGCCACACCCCAUAGUCGCCUUUGACUGGACUUAACCAUCCAGGAGUCCUUUACCUUUACUAUGGAACAACUAUCAGUGGCUAGAUAACGGUGUGAACCAGCCCCAAAUGUGGAGUAGUGACAUAAUAUGACAACAAAUGAUGCACAUGUGUCAACCUUUCCUGCAAAUGGCUAGGUAAUCCCGUCCUAAGGGUGCUGAUCAUGAUUGAAUGUGUAACACUGCCAAGAUAUUUGUCCUUGGUCAAUCCUUGUUUCAUGAUCUUUCCAGGAUUAGAUGAAUCCCAGUCUCAACACAUACAUAUCUAUGGCAUAUCUGAAUCACUUUGCCUAAAAGUAGAAUAACAUAUUAAUUGAAUUCAUUGGCUACACAAGUUCAGAUUCACCCAAAUACCAUGGUAUGCCAACAAACACAUGUGGUCAAUACAAUUGUGAGUCUGAUAGCAAAUGCAGCCAAAUGCAUGUCAUUACAUGUCAACCAUCAAAUACUGUCACAAUAUCAAGUAUUGAAAUCAAAUGCCAUUGGGUGCCACGUAUAGAAAUCACAUUCUUGCCACACACACUCAGCAAACAGCCUAUGAUUUCAAAAAUGUCUGGAGAAUAUUAAACAUCAUAAUUCACAGCGUGGAAGUUUUGGAAGCAAAUCCAUCCUUUUCAUUUCUGGGUUUCCAGUUACAGAAUCCAUCUCUAUCCAUGCUCUUAGCCUUCACUUUAUAUUCAUCUCUGUGCACCCACAUCUUCCUAUGCACAGGAAAUUAUAAUUUCCUCAAGAGGAUCCAAGCUCCACCCUUAGUGAAAUACCCAAAGAAUAAAGUGGUAAUGAAAAGCCUAUCAUUAUUAUUAUCAAAUCUAUAGCUUAAUUAGCUGACGAUAGACCUGUCAUCUUCACUUGCAGGCUAACUCAUUCUGUGUUCCAAACUUCAUUGGUUAAAGUAUUCAGACUAAUAGAUUAGCCUGACCCUGUAAAGUAAUAUAAUCAUUUGAAUGCAACACUGUUUCAUUAUGUCACAUUUUGAAAUGGUUUCCCCCCUUCUCAAGUUAUGUCUAUAGCUCCAGGGAAGAUUUUCAACUUGUUUCUAUGACUAAGUGUCUGCUCCUUCUGUAGCUGGAAAAGGUGAUAAUGAAGUCUUUUAGCAGAAUCUGUACCACUUACUGGAGUACAAGAGGGUGAAUGGUAAGAGCUGAAUAGAUUCUGGCCAUCAGCAAAUGGAGGGAAGUGAAGGUUGUUUAAACACUUUAAGAUGGAAGAUAAACACAUUGAAAAUGAGGACAAUCUACAGUCUAUUAAGCUGCUUUGGAUCAAGCAGCCCUGAGAGAGCAGAAAGCAUUUCACGUUACAAUCAGUGAUUUCCCUCCACGCUGCAUUGCAGCUAAACAUGUCACUGCAAUGCACAGGAUUUUAUUUGCAGAAUAUUCUGUAAUACACUCCAGGUUGGGAAACCACUCGUCGUUUUGAUUCAAUGUCCGUAAACUGAGAGAGCUCACUCAAAAAUUAGAGCUGUACACUGAUUAAGGAUUUUUUUUUUCUUGAUUAACCACAUGCCUUUCAACCAAUCAGUUGAUUAACAGGUUUUGAUAUACCAAUUUCACAUUACCCACAACUCUGUACAGAGGCCAAUUUGAGCUAUGGAAAGACGCAUAAGAAAAGUUACAAUCUGCAGGAGGGGGAGGCUACAAUCCGUUGCUGAAAUGGGGGGAUGCAUUUCAAGGUGGGUUCCCCCCCCCCCAUUUUCUUUUAUAGAAAUAUACCACAACCAAAGAAGCUUCAGAAAAGAAAGUGUUUCAUCAGUUAAAAGUUACUCCCAGCUACUAAAACCAGCCCUCAUCAACUAAUUGACUGAAGUUUUGAUUUAAGACUUACAGACCUACAGUGGUACCUCAGGUUACAUACGCUUCAGGUUACAUACGCUUCAGGUUACAGACUCCGCUAACCCAGAAAUAGUGCUUCAGGUUAAGAACUUUGCUUCAGGAUGAGAACAGAAAUCGUUCUCUGGCGGAGUGGCAGCAGCAGGAGGCCCCAUUAGCUAAAGUGGUACCUCAGGUUAAGAACAGUUUCAGGUUAAGAACGGACCUCUGGAACGAAUUAAGUACUUAACCCGAGGUACCACUAUACUUGAAAAUCCUCAAUAUGAUGCAGUUUGCAACACUUUGGUAGUUGUUUUGAUCAUCAGAUCUCUGAAGAGGUACCAUUUUCUUGCCUCCAGUUGUACCUCAGUGUUCGUCAUUUUUUAAAAGCAACAACAACAAAAGAUAAUGGAGGCUUGCACUUACAGGAGAAUGAUUUUGUGGACAGCUCAGUUUCCCAUUCCCCGCUGUCAGACAGCAUUACACUGUUAUCUCUAUUCACUAUAUACACUUGAUCUCUCUGUCACGGUUAUUUCCCUCUGGUGGCUCAUGUACACAGUCCUUUUUUUGCCAACUUCAAUUCAAAAACGGGGACCAAAGGGGCUUUCAGAAUGAUGAACUCCAAAGCCAGUCAUCUGCAGUGCUGGAUGACUCUUAAAAAGGAAAGAGGCAGCUGAACCAAAACUAGACCUCAUUUUCACUCUUGCUGCUGCUAAAAUGAUCGUGGUGACAGUAAUCACUACUAGAGCAGGGCCUUCCCUGACGUGGCACCUCAGAUGUGGAACUCCCCUGCCCCCGAGAUUCAACUGUCCCUUGCACUAUCCACAUUUAGGUGUCAGAUAAAUGCAUCUUAAAUUUCCCAGGUUGGCUGAUGUAAGAGUGAGGUUGCUGGUGAGUUGUCUGAAAUUCUGAUUCCUGCUUUGUUUUGAGAUCUGUUUCACAUUGUUUAUUUUGUGGUUCUUGUGCAUUUUAAUAUAUUGUUCUCUACUGCCCUGGGAACCUCUGGGUUGAAGGGUGAGAUACAAAUAUAAUUUGAUAAUAAUCAGUAUUAACAAUGCCUUCUGCUUAUCGUACAGAACAUGAUCUCUCUCUCUCUUCUGCAUUCUUUCUGGGCAUAUCCACCUUUGGGUGAAAUUAUGUGCUACGUGCCUCCAGUCUAAUGGCUGGGAGCAAUUAAAAUGGUUUUUAUGCCCUCUGCAUGGAUCCCCAUUUAAAUCCAUGGAACUGAGUUCUGAAGACUAGGGACUGCAGAACAAACAGAGCUGAAAGGCAAGUGCUUCAUUGAUUGGGACUUGCUUGGUUGAAAAGAUCAUCAGCUCUGAAAGUGCUAUCCUCCUGGAAGCCAAAAAAUGGCAUUUCCCCCCAACAAGGGCAUGGCUGAAACAACUGGGCUGCACAGGAGUCAGUAAAAGACUAAUUUUGCUUGCAGGGCUUUGAUUACAGUUAAUGAUAUGAGAGACAGAAAGAAACCAGGUUGACUGGCAGAUCUCUGGCUGAGUGCUCACAGCGGGGCAGCAGAGGGAGAAAGCUUGCAUAUUUGUAAGCAGAGUGCAUUUAUGCGAGAGAAUAAACAGCAAGGCAAGCCGAACUGCGCUGCAGGGCUGUGGCCAGGCAGAGGGCUGCGCCACAGGGCAGUGCUCUGCUGAACAUUUGUCCUGAGCUUUUUUUUUGCUGGUUGUUGUUUUCCCCAAUUCUUGGGGGGGGGGGAAUGGCAUUUAAAAGAGGGGACAGAACAUUCCUGAGGAAUUCUCAUAGGUGGGGUGCAGGGUUUUUCAUUGGGCUUGCUUUACUUUCAAGGGGUGAAGUAAGUGUCUUUCAUUUGACAAAUCAUAUCUGGUCUUCAUUCCCAAGUUUUCCAGAAUUCCCACACUUCCUGAAAUGAAAACUUCCUGAUACCCUCAGCCGGGCUUUCUUGUAAGUAUGUGAAGUUGCAGAGGCUACUUACUGACAGCUGUUUAUUGUUGCUAUUAUUUUCUAAAGUGAAUACAUUUUUUACAUUUUAAAUAAAUCAGUGUUGUUGUUUUAAAACGGAAAGAUUUCCCUUAAAAACAAGAUUAGCAGAUCAAUCAGUCUCAGGUCGUUGGUAUUCAGCCUUCCCAGCUUUCCCUGCUUCACUCAAAACCCAGGAGAAGACAUCAAGAGAUAAUCUCACUGCUAAAAUAGGAGAGGCCCUAUCAGUGCUAGCAUUCCGCUGCCUGCUGUAUAGGCAAGUCAUUCUUCUAAACUAUUUUAGCUGUUUUUUCAGUUGUUUUAAUUGUUACACUAUCCAGGUGCUUGCUUUAUUGUAUAUUUUAAUUAAAUAUGUUUGAAUGGCAUUGUGUAUUAUAAUUAUGGAUUGAUUUCUUUCUGCAGGGCCUGUAAGACAGAGUUGUUCCACCUGGCCUUUGGCUUGGAGCCAAUUUGAUUCCCUCCCUCCCUCUCUUUUUUUCUUUUCCUUCUCCUCCUGCGAUGAGGCUACAUUUUAAUAUUUUAAUGUUCCAUUAUUUUAAUGUUGUAUUUUAUUUUUGUUUUUAAGUUGUAAUCAUUCAUCUUGUUUUUAUUAUUGCUUGUAAGCCACUCUGAGCCUGGCCUUGGCUGGGGAGGGCGGGGUAUAAAUAAAAAAUAUUAUUAUUAUUAUUAUUUUAUAGUUGUAAACUGUUUGGAAGCCAUUUUUGCAAAUAAGUGGUUGGUUGGUUGGUUGGUUGGUUGGUUGGCUGGCUUGCAAGUACAACAACCCAUGGACCUUUUUCAGAUUUGGAAGUGCAAGCAGUCAGGGAGGUUGCAGAACACUGGAGAAAUGUUUGCUGAAAAGUAAAGAAGGCUGAUUGCCGAAGAAUUGAUGCUUUUGAAUUAUGGUGCUGGAGGAGACUCUUGAGAGUCCCAUGGACUGCAAGAAGAUCAAACCUCUCCAUUCUGAAGGAAAUCAGCCCUGAGUGCUCACUGGAAGGACAGAUCCUGAAGUUUAAGCUCCAAUGCUUUGGCCACCUCAUGAGAAGAGAAGACUCCCUGGAAAAGAUCCUGAUGUUGGGAAAGAUGGAGGGCACAAGGAGAAGGGGACUACAGAGGACGAGAUGGUGGGACAGUGUUCUCGAAGCUACCAGCAUGAAUCUGACCAAACUGCGGGAGGCAGUGGAAGACAGGAGUGCCUGGCGUGCUCUGGUCCAGGGGGUCACGAAGAGUCGGACACGACUAAACGACUAAACAACAACAACAAAGGGAAAUGAAUGCUUUCCCCACCUCCCUUGGCCAACUGCCAAUGAUAAGGGAAGCUCAACCCACAUCCAGCAAAUUCUUAAGAAAUUCCAAUGUGUCAGGUAGAAAAGUAGGAGCCUAUUUCAUGGAACAAGUAAACUCUGGAGAAAUUGGAGGACAAAAUUUGGCACAGCGCUAAAGGUGACGUUGUUCCUUCUGAAAACGGGCUUCAGCUCAACAGGAGCUGGCUGCACAUUGUAGCAUCAAAACUCUGUGGGUCUGCCCUCCUCCUCUCCCCUCUCCCACUUAACUUUAAUCUCCAGAGGAGCUCCUAGGUCUCAGGUCUGGGUCCUGAAAUCUCAGGGACUGAGAUGCUCCUGAUCUGGCAACCCUAGAGCUUAAAGGGAAGCCCCGCCCUUACCUGCCCCAUACCUGACAUCACGUUGAGGCAUGGCUUUCCCAAAAGGGGAGCCUGAUGGACCAAGUUUGGUCCACCAGCCAGAGGUUCUCCACCUCUGUGCCAUGAGAAUGUUGCCAGGGACCCACAGCUAACAAGUGACAUAUUCCCCAGCAGUGGCCUGUACCCUGGGGUAAAUAACCAGUUGGCAAAAGGACAUCUGUCUCCCCUCAUGGAAUAAACAAAUCAGAACUGAGCUGUUCAAUGCAAGCAGCCUCCAAGUCUCCUGAAGUUAUUUCAUUCAUCUGUAUAUUUGGCAAUGAGCAAAUAUAUUUUCAACGUAUGCCUACAUAAAGAAGCCUCCUUUAUGAGAAUAUUUGAUGUGGGUUUCAAGCUAUGACUUCAUUGUUAUUGUUGUUUCAAAGCCAAAGGAGGAGGCAUCAAAUUUUUAGCAUGGAGACCUAAAUUUAGAUCUCAACUAUGGGAAAUCUAUGAUUUUACUGUAAUAGCUCUGAAUUGCAUUAACUUUGAAUCAUAUGACCCCACUAAUAGCCUAUGCAAACCCAUUUACCAACAUCACAUUUAUAUUAACGCACACAAUUUCUUGAUUUUACUGGCAAUGUACCAGUAAGUGCGUUUUGCUUCUGAAUUGAUGGCUUGAUGCCAUUCGGGGGGGGGGGGGAGGCUUGCAACUGUAUUGGCUGAAAAAUCCAAACAUGAGAGCAGGGGGGCCUGUCUAGGCUGUGCCCUAUAAUGCUAAUAAAUUCAAUGGGUCUUGCUUGUGCCCUGUUGUCAUUUGGGGCUCAUCUGAAAUAUAAGCCAUCAAAAGUAAAACUUGACAUUUGAGUGAGACCGAGAAAAGAAGUCAGGUCAUCCUUAUUCCAUUAACAUCCUAUUAAACAAAUGUCAGGCUGUCUCAUCUCAGAGAGAGACACUACCUCACUUCUCAAAAUGUCCCUGGCAGUGUCCAGCUCCAAAGGCCAAAGGGGAAUCAUGAAAUAACUUACUGAUCGUGAGUCAUAGAGAUAUGACAAAAACAACAACAACAACCUCCAGAGUAACACACUCCUUGGAUUUUCAGUUGGGCUAUGCAAAAUAAACGGUUUGUAUUCCCCUCAUAUUCGCUUCAUAGAGGUGCAGUUUCCAGUUGUCCUUGGGAAGAAGGGUUGAUUGCUAAACCACUGGGAGAACAGUAGCUCUGUGAAGGGAAUAAGGGUCUUCUAGCAACUCUCAGCAUUCUUAGCACACUGCCGUUACCAGGAUUCUUUGGGGGGAGUCAUGACUGCUAAAGUGGCACAUGAGCAUUUCAAAUGUAUGGUGUGAAUGUGGCCAUUGCAGCUAUUUCUAGAGUCCCAUUCUGUUGAAUGUCAGGAAACCCAACAGUCAAAUUGCUAAUCACUGAAUUCACCCCAUAGACACGUAGGCCUGGUUCAAAUGAUAUGCCUCCCAAGUUAUACAUGUUUCAUGUUCUUUCUUAUUCCUGUGAGCCAAGGGAAGGGAAUCUCUGGCUCUCCAGAAGUUGCUGGACUACAAUUCCCAUCAUCCCCAAACUUUGGUGAUGUUGACUGCAGCUGAUGGGAUUUGGUGUCCAAGAAAAUGUUGAGGGCCACAGCAGCUUCUCCAUCCUUUCUGAAAGGACUUGGGCCAUUCCAAGUUGAUAUUCUGUUCUACGGUCUGCAAAAUGGCUCAGAACAGCAUUCAUGGGAAAAUUAAAGGAUAACUAAAAAAAACUAAUAUAAGAAUAAAGCAAAUAUGGACAGGGAAAAGGACCAGCCAAAUAAAAAUGGUAUAAACAGAAAUGGGAGGGGAAAUUGAGAAAAUCAGUUGCAGAAUAUCGCAAGCAUGGUAGGCAUGAACAGGUUGUUUGGUGAAGAAAUCAGUUUUAACCUGGACCCAACCUAGAUGCCUCCCUUACUUGUCUAAGAAGGGAGUUCUGUAGUUGGGUCAUUUAUUCCUUUAAGCCUUUGCUGGACAUUGAUAAAUUGGGGGGAGAGACAUAGUCCAUUGAGAAAGCAUCUGCAUUGCUUGAAGAAGGCCCCAGAUUCCAUUCCUGGCAUCUCCAGGUUAAGCUGCCUGAAACCCUGGAGAUCUGCUGCCAGUCACCGUUGACCAACCUUUCUCAGCCUUGGGUCCCUAGAUGUUUGCCCAGGAAUCAUAUCAAUGACCAGUGGUCAUAGAUGAUAGGAGUUGUAGUUCAAGAACAUCUGGGGACCCAAGGCUGAGAAAGGCUGGUGUAGACACUAGUAAGUAGAUCGACCAAUGGUCUCACUUGGUAUAAAACAGCUUCCUGUAUUCCUAUGAUACCAGUUGACCGUAAUAAUUAGAACACAAUAAAUUCUAACCCCACUUACAUGCAAAUAACCACCAUUGGAUUCAAUAGGUCUUAAUUCUGAGUCCCUGUAGUUAGAAUUGCACUGUUAGUACGUCUGUUCUGGCCUCAUAUUGGUUACUGUUUCACUUAUUCUGUAUGGAAGUUUUAAUGUAACUUUAAUGAAUUUUUGUGCAGUGCCUUGUGUUGUUACAAGAAAGGUGAUUUAGAAAUAGUUUUAACGACAUAAAUAAAUAGCCAUUGAAAAAGUUAUCUCCCUUAUCAAAAACUGUUUGUCAAAACUUUCUUGAGUUGCUGGUGGCAUCUUUAGCCUCCAGUCUAUCAAGGGUAGCGUUUGAAAAAUUAUUUACUGCUUUUUUAAAAGAGAGAGAGAAAUUAAUUAUUAACUUUGAACACCUUAACACAUUUCAGACCAGAUACUGAGUGCUUCUCUCAUCUGAUGGAUGCAUUGUGUUCUAUAAAUAACGCCAGGAGUUGACCAAAAGCAGAGAGGUUUAAAAAGCUCGUAAAGGUGAGAAAAUCUCGCACAAACAUGCUCACAAAAGUUAAGAGCAUCCUGCUUCAAAUAACAUUGUUGAGAUGGAGAGAAUAUUUUUUCCAUCCAUUGUCCCCAAAUCAUGAGACUCUUUGGUAUAGGGUUCCAUGGGGAUGCUGUGAAAAUUAACUAGGACAUUAAUAGGAGGGGCUUAUUUUGAAUACAGCCAUCUCAAGAUUUCACUCCUAUAAACAAAGGACCAUCUGCCAAAAAAGAGAGAAGUUUAGCUGUCUCUCUAGUGCAGAAGUCAACAAUUACGGGAGGCCCACGGGCACCUUUGCAAACAGAUGAUAUUGCUGUGAGCACCCCCCCCCCACACACACACACACUGCAACCAAGCACUCGCCACAACCUACGGUAUUUUAUUGGCUACAAUAAAGUAUUUCUUUUAUUGGGGGAUGGUGGGGGAAGAGACCUUUGGGGCAGCAGGAAAAUGCCUCUGUGGGCACAUGGACUGUCAUGGCGGUCAGGUUCAUCCUAGUGAGGUGCAGGGGGGCAGGGGGGAGGAGGUGCCCCACUUUGAUUAACACUGCAGAGUGGGACUGACCUAGUAGAGAGGAUUACAGAGGACCACUUCUCCAUAGCUGGCUACUCUUCAUGUGCAAAAGGGGAAGGAAGGAUCUUUGAGAGAGCUUCAGUGUGCCUGCGUGCCUUCCUAGCCAUGCACACCAAAUUGUAAACCUUCAGCAAAUGUUUUGCUGUGGAUCAGGGGUCAGCAAACUUUUUCAGCAGGGGGCCGGUCCACUGUCCCUCAGACCUUGUGGGGGGCUGGACUAUAUUUUGGGGGGAAACACGAACAAAUUCCUAUGCCCCACAAAUAACCCAGAGAUGCAUUUUAAAUAAAAGGACACAUUCUAUUCAUGUAAAAACAUGCUGAUUCCCGGACCGUCUGCGGGCCGGAUUGAGAAGGCGAUUGGGCCAGAUCCGGCCCCUGGGCCUUAGUUUGCCUACCCAUGCUGUAGAUCAAACUUGUUUGCCAGGCAAUGGGGCAAGAAAGGUUGUGUGUGUGGUUUUGCCAAAUCAUCUUAUGGGCUCUGGGCAGAUCUAUACUCACGGUUUUUAAUGUUAAGGAAGGGUUAAGGAAGGGUUUUGAUAACGUAUUUUGACACAAGACACCCUCCUUUCAACAUUCAUAAUACGUUAUUAAACUGUGACACCAGAGGGCGCUGCAGAGAAACCAGCAACCAGCAGUAGAAAGACAGUGUUUUUUUUUGGGGGGGGGGAGUUAAAAAGCAGUUUAAUUUACAAGUAUGCCCUGUGACGUUUUAGAAUGAUAUAUCUAAUAUCGUUCUAAUAGCAUUAAACAGGUCAGUGUAGAUCCGGCCUCUAUCUCUGUUUCUGUUUCUGUCUCUGUCUCUCACUGGCCUUCCUGGUCCUUGAUGCUACUGCCGGUGGGUUUUCUUUAGAGGGGGCACUUUGUAAAUAUCGGCCCUUUCACAAUAUGCAGGGAUGUUGGUUUUGAUGGGGUAAGCAGUGGGGGCACAGUGCACAUGCCAAGAGGGACUCUGGGCAGCACAUGGGUCCUGCAACUGGAAUGGGUAACAGCUGCACCAUCAGGAUGAUAGCUGGGGUAACAGACAAUCAUUUUUGCAAUAGUGUGAAGGGACUAGGAAUGAGAUUGGUUUUUCAACAGUGCCCCGCCCAUAGGAAGGACUCUGUUUGCAAUGUGUUAGCAAAUAGGAGGCAUCAUCUUUUUUACCCACAACACCUCUGAAAACGACACUAUAUAGUGAUGUAGCAGCCUUACAGGAGCUGUGUGUGUGUGUGUGUGUGUGUGUGUGUGUGUGUAGUGGUGAAAUGGUGACCUAUUGCAGUGCAGAUUAGUAGCUCCGUGGCAGCGACUAUCAGCAGAGCAGUCUGUCAAAGCAAGAACACACGCAGCAAAGCCAUUUUGCCAUCCUCAACACUUUUCGAGAUAACCUCCCUUCAGAGUUCAAAAAAUAAAGGAAAGUUCCUUCCCUUUCUUAUAUAAAAGAGCUGUGCUGAUCAUUCCAGUUCUUAGAGUUCAGCAGUGGCAAACCUGUGGCUCUCUAGCAAGGACGGUGGUCAGGAAUGAUGGCAACUGUGGUCUGGUGCCCCUAGUUAUCCACACCUAUUCUAGCUAAACAUUUGCCCUCCUGCUGUCAUUUAUGAGAUAACGUGUGUUGUUUUCAGAAGCCUUAAAAUGAUAAAUAAUAAAGAAAUGUCAGCAUGCUUAAUGGGUUUGGCCCAAAUGAAAUAUGAAAGAGACCUUAGCAGCAUAUGCUUACCCUAGCUUUCUGCGAGCUUAAUGCUUCAUUUUAAAUCUUUUAUCAAUGGCCGCAUAACAUUUUCCCACGUCUGUACAAACUGCAUAGAUUUCAUCAAAACACUUUGGGGUGGCUUAAUAAGUCUGUUGUGGAAGUGAAUGCCUUUAGCCUAAUCCUCACUAAAGAAUUUCCAAAGAGGCCAAUAAAUAAAUAAAAGGAGAAGUGAGAAUUUGAACAACUGGAGUUUGUUGCAUCUGUUUCCUUCUGCUGGGACCCUUCUAUUUAUAAUGAAAUCACAGUUUAACCAACUAAGUGGACUGUCUCUUGGGAAAGGGAGAAACUAGGACAUGCUCUUUUUUAAGGGCAGUAGGAGAGAGGAUAGUUUCAUUUAGAUGUGUCAAAUGCAGCUUCUUAUACAACUAUCUUGACCUCUUCCUUGAUUAGCUCUCAAAAGUAUAUCAAACCCUGGGUUAAAGUUGAGCCUGGUAUAAGGGACUUUUCGCACAUUAUACAGAGGCAAUAUGACUUCAGUGUACACUCAACAGGGAGCUGCAGUCAAUCACAGCUACCUGACAAGUGCACCUAUAAGUUCGCACACAUAAGCACCCACAUGCUUGCAAACAUAUGCUUGUCACAAUGAGGACUGAAACGAGGCAUCAUUUCCCAUCCCACUCUGUAUUUAUCACAAGCAGCUCUGUUUCUGUUCCACUACAGUUGGUCUUCAGCUAAAAACAUAUUCAUCUCACUGUCUGCUGUGGGCAAAUUAUGCAACUCGGAAUUUCACAAAGGAAACACAAUGCAAAAGGGGAGGGGGAUGUAAUCAGUUAUGUAACAUUUGUGGACUGAAAGCAGCAGCAGCAACAAUGAAUGCCAAUUGUAUUUGAUAGAUCAUUUACAUUCCAGACAUGGGACAAACAAGCGAACAUUGACAAUUUCUGAUCUCGUUUUCCUCCCUCCCUCCCUUCCUUUCUUUCUUAGAUCAUAAGAUCUCAGGGCGGUUCACAGAAUAAAAACAGGAUAAAAAUAAAAGGUUUCAAAGUUCUCCAGCAUCCCUUUACAUUUGGAGGUCCACAUGCCAGAAGAUCCAAAACUGACUGGGCUGCUUCCAAAUGCUACAUAAACAAAACAAAUAUAAUGGCCACAGCACACCUGUACUAAACAAUAUUGGACUCACUAGAUCUGAAAUUUUCUGGCUAUCAGAGUUACCCUGAGGCUGGUUAUCCACCCAAAUACUUUUCAGAGCAAUAAAACAAAAAGCAGUUGACAAGCUUGAGAACUCCUAGAACUUCCAUUUCACUCCUCAUGUCACACCCAUAAGCAUUUAUAAUCCACAUCUACAUUGCAACCAUUUUUUGAUGCAGCUUAUUAUCAAUAAACUAUGGAUGCCUGGGAAGUGUAUGCAUUUCUCCAUAAUUCUGCUGCCUAGGAAAGAAAAUAUCCUUAUGAAUUGGGAUAUGGAUAAGGAUUCUUCUUUAGAUGGUGGUUGAGCUCACUGCAGAGCUUUGAUGAAGAUGGAAGAAGGUUUUGUGAAGCUAUGACAACAGAAGAACUGCACUUCCCUCAUUAAGUUGCAUCAUAUCACAUCCAUGGCUUCAGAGAGGAAAACACAGAAUUACAUGCCCUCUCUUUUGUCAAUUGGACUCCUGUUCUUCACCAGAACAGCCUCUCCUUUAUUCCCCAAAGUGCAUUUAUAUUUUCUCAACCAAACAAUCCAAUUACUCUGAUUUCUAUUCUGAUUGCUCACCAAUCUUUAAGAAGAAGAAGGAGGAGGAAAGCCUACAAGAAACCACAUUUUUCUUUAGAAAAUGAAAUCUGUGAAUGUGCAGAAAGCACGUAAUUAUUAGAGAAACAGUAUUUUAUCUGAUGACAAGAUGAGGAUACAAAGGGUAGCAAAUAGGUUUUGUUGUUUUUUUCACUUCCAUAUAGCGGGAGAGGAGCUUGUGGGAUUUUCCGCCACCGAAUAACUUGGCUGCGUUUGGAUACUAAACACCCUGACUUAGGGGCAGCAUUUGUUGCUCAGCUUUAGGCAGCAAAAUGCCUGGAGGCAGCAUCUGACUUGGGCACAGUCAAAUCAUGAGCCAAAUCCUCCUAAGUCAGGUUGGAUCAAAUAUGGCUGUUCUAUCUAGGACUCCACUACUGGACCAGUAGGGUUGUUGUUUUCUAGGCCAGGGAUGGGGAGCACGUGCCCCAUACCCUCAGUGUUGCUAUGCUACAGCUCCUGCUUUGGGAUGCAGGUGGCGCUGUGGUCUAAACCACUGAGCCUCUUGGGCUUGCCGAUCAGAAGGUUGGAAGUUCAAAUCUCCGCAAUGGGGUGAGCUCCCAUUGCUCGGUCCCUGCUCCUGCCAACCUAGCAGUUCGAAAGCACACCAGUGCAAGUAGAUACAUAGGUACUGCUGCAGCGGGAAGGUAAAUGGUGUUUCCGUGCACCCUGGUUUCCAUCACGGUGUCCCGUUGCGCCAGAAGCGGUUUGGUCAUGCUGGCCACAUGACCCAGAAAGCUGUCUGUGGACAAACGCCAGCUUUCUCGGCCUGAAAGCAAGAUGAGCACUGCAACCCCAUAGUCUCCUUUGACUGGACUUAAUAGUCCAGGUGUCCUUUACCUUUAGUUUUUACCUUACAGCUGCUACCAUCCCCGAGUAGGCUCAGGGCCAAGAUACAAGUUUCCUGGCAACUGCGCCACUGCUGCUUACCAGGAGGGGGAGAGGCAAGGGGGCAGGGAGGCUGGCACAGUGCAAACAGACCAGCAGGUGUUGGCUGGAUUGGCUCUGCUGACGCACUUCACUGCACCAACCUCCCCGCUGCCCUCUCCCUCCUACUAAGUGCUGGUUUUGACCUAUAAAGCCUUAAAUGGCUCAGGACCGCAAUACCUCAAGGACUGCCUCUUUCCAUAUGAACCUACCCGGACCCUGAGAUCACCUUCUGAGGCCCUUCUUUGUGUGCCUCCUCUUUGAGAGGUCCAGAGGGUGGCAACUUGAGAACGGGCCUUUUCUGCAGUGGCUCCCCAUCUGUGCAAUGCUCUCCCCAGGGAAGUUCGCCUGGUGCCUUCAUUACGCACCUUUAGGUGCCAGGCAAAAAUGAUCCUUUUAAAUCAGGCCUUUGGUUGACCUGGUUGAUAUCCUAUACCCUUUUAAAAGGUGGCUAUUGGGAGGGGUGUUAUUGGGUUAUUGUUCUUAUUUUGACGCUAUAUAUUGUGAUCUUUUUGUGAACCGCCCUGAGACCUCCGGGUAUAGGGUGGUAUAUAAAUUCAAUAAAUAAAAAUAAAUACUAAGCAACAGUUACCCACCUAUCAGGAACCUAGUAUAGCAGCUCUGCCCCAGCCUACAUGCCAUUUCUGCCUCUUGCACAUAAACAGUUUGGUCUACCUAAGUGUUGACAGCUGGAAAAUUCACUUUUGGUUUACCAAAUGAUGACUGCAGUGAACAGCAGUUCUGCUUGGAUUGGCCAAAUUGAUUGGACAAACAAUUCCAUCACAGAACCAAGACCUGGUGGCAGGCAGCUAAAAGGCUAUCUAUUUAUUUAUUUAUUUAUUUAUUUAUUUAUUUUAUAAUAAUUUUUAUUCAGUUUCCAAUAUACAUUCCAUCCAUAUUUAACAUCCACUUCUAACAUAUACAUCUUUUAGACUUCCCUCAGCCUAUCUGACAAUUUUCCAUAUAAUCACAAUUACUCACUUUUCUUAAAUUUAUAUUGCGCUUUAACAAUCUUAAUCUUAUCAUAACUUUUAAGCAACAUUUCUAUCCAUCAUUUUCACAGAGCUUCUUGAAAGCCAACAAGCUUGUUGGCUUAAAAGGCUAUCUAUUUAUAACUGCUAUUGGUGGCAGUCUUUUUGCUCCUGAAUUCUUCGCCCAGUGCACAUAACUUUGCAUUACUUUAAAACACACAUACAUACCCUGUCAUGUACACCUUCAUUUAUUUGCAGCAGCCUCCUGAUGCCCUGUUAUGGCCUGGGACUAUUUUAACAACCUGUCAAUAAAGUGUCAUGUACGCUUGUCUAAUCCUAUCAUUUCUGAAGCAUCUGUGCAUAAUUUGCAUUUCCUUAGUCUCCAGCCAGUUAGUUUGUUUUAAAAAAUGCUGAUGCUUUGCUUUUUUUCGUGUGUGUGUGUGUGUGUGUGUGUGCGCGUGUAAUUUUAGUUCUAUAGAAUUACCUGGACUGUUGCAGCUGGCAAAUGAAGGAGGAAGGGAUAUUACACAAACUAGGGAAGAAAAGCAGGACGUAAAGGAGGGAUGUGAAAGGAGGGGGAACCACUCUUUCACGCCAUCUGGUUUUUCCCAUGUCACACAAUGAACCUGCAUCCUUCCUUUCUGUUUUUUCACUGCAAUAGUACGUGCGCUGAGUAGAAAACAACUGUGCUCACAAACUUUUCAGGUUUUAAUAUUUCGCUUAUGUCUGAAUUUAUGAGUCACUGCAAGGCAUUCAGUGAACUGUACUACAAAAUAAAAUAUGUUACCUGAAUAAAACAAAAAAGAGCAACACACACAUACACAACACUGAACAAAACAGCAAAAGAACAGAAGCUGCAGCCCAACCCUGAAUGGGCAUCCACACACACUAUGGCUGCAACAGACCAUUGCUAUAUUCUCCUGCGCCUUUCCUUGCCCCAUGCAUGCAGGUUACCUGUAGGCUGAAUGCACACCAUUCAUAUCAUAGAAUCAUAGAAUUGCAGAGUUAGAAGGGAUUUCAAGGAUCAUCAAAUCCAACCCCCUGCAAUGCAGGAAUCAAUUUAACAAGCAUGGCUUCCCCUAAAUAGAAUCACAAAAUUGUAGAGUUUGAAGGGAUCCUGAGGAUCAUCUAGUCCAACCCCCUGCAAUGCAGGAAUACGCAGCUGUCUCCUAUGGGGAUCGAACCUGCAACCUUGGCAUUAUCAGCACCAUGCUCUAACCAACUGAGCUAUAGGUGUCCUGAUAAUAUUAUAAUAUUGUAGGUGUUCCUAAUAUUAUCAUUGUUGUUUAUUAAGGGUGCUGGGAAUUGUAGCUCCGUGGAGAUGAUGAUGAUGAUUUAUUUAUUUAUUUAUACCCUGCCCAUCUGGCUGGGCUUACUCAGCCACUCUGGGUGGCUUCCAACAAAAUAUUAAAAUACAGUAAUGCAUCAAACAUUAAAAGCUUCCCUAAACAGGGCUGCCUUCAGAUGUCUUCUAAAAGUCUGGUAGUUGUUGUUCUCUUUGACAUCUGAUGGGAGGGCGUUCCACAGGGUGGGUGCCACUACCAAGAAAGCCCUCUGCCUGGUUCCCUGUAACUUGCCUUCUUGCAGUGAAGGCCCUCAGAGCUGGACCUCAGUGUCUGGGCUGAACGAUGGGAGUGGAGACACUCCUUCCCAGGAUUCUUUGAGGGGAGAAAUGAUGUGCUUUAAAUGCAUGGUGUGCAGUCAGCAAGAUUCUAUUGAGCCCUUUGCUGAUUGCGUUAUGUGUGAUCAGCUGCUUGCACCUAUAGGAUAAACAGCAUAACCAGCAGCAGUAAGGACAUUUUGAAAAUAAUCUGCCAAAGAAUUUUAAACUUCCACAGCUGAAACAUUUAGUACUUUGACAUGUGAACGUAGGGAGCUGCCUUAAACCAGUCUGCCCCUUGGUCCAUCCUCCUCAAUAUUGUCUACUCUACAUCACCUGGCAGCAGCUCUCCAGGUAUUCAGACUGGAGACCUUGCCUAGCCCUACCUAGAGAUACCAGGGUCUGAACUUGAGACCCUAAACAUGCAAUGCAUCUUAUGAAAUUAAAAUGCCUUGGCCAGUGUUUUACAGCAGAGGGUGAAAGAGAGCCCAAGUGGAUUUCUCUAGAUAGAGAGUUCAAUAGUAUGGAUGUUCCACCAUGGAAAAAUCCCAGCCACAUGUCCCAGCAGAACAAAUCCCUGUAAAGGGAAAGACACAGCACCACACCACAUCCAUAGCUCCUGAGAUAGAAUAAACCCAAAGAUAUUAUUCCUAAAAUAUGCAGGACCCAAGCCUGUCACAGGUUAAAAAGUAACAGCUACCAAUCUCUCAAAGCAAACAGAAAGCUUGUGUAGAAGAGUCAGAAUUAAAGUGAUGUGAUCUCUGCAUGCUGUUCAAGAGCAGCUUUCGCCAAAUCUGGGAUGUUUUGGACCACAUCUCUCAUCAUCCUUGCCAAUUAGCUACACUGGAGGUGGCUGAUGGGAAUUGUAGUCCGGAAAAUCUGGACGGCACCAAGUUGGGGGAGCUUGCUCUAAGCCAAUGGGAGAGCUGCAGUGGGAGUUGGUUUCAUUUCAGCAAUAAGGCUUUUCAUCCUUUGGCCAUCCCUCUGUAUCAUUCAUUCUCCAAGCUGAGAUCCUCCCUCUUUUUGCUCCUUGCUUUUCUUAAGUAUCGUAUGAAGAAUCCCAAUUUAAAAAAUAGCUUCAAAAAGAGGAGUGUCUUCUGCUCUUAAUGCAUCGUUUCUAUGAGGACUUCAGGACUCUCUUUCGGCGACAAGGCAUGCUCUAGAGUGGUUUACCAUGCCACCUAGCAGGGAUUUUAAGAACUGAAAAUUGCUCAGAAAGAGCUGGUGUGAACGAGAACACUGGUGUGAAAGCGCUCAAGCAACAAAAGCAUGAAAGUUUGGAGACAGCCAAGAGAGAUUGAUGGGUGCAUGUCAUUAUUUAAAAAGGUCUCCUAAUAUAAGAAUGCUUUAUGAUAGCAACGUGAUAAGCUGUGCACCCUCAAUACCUCACUUUGCUAGAUCUCCAAGUCAUGUACUGUUGCCGGGCAGUUUUUCUUUCUUUGCAAAACUACAGCACUGUGGAACCACUAAUAGAAAAAAAAGCAUCAAGGUGAUACAUGAAGGGAGCUUCUAGCAAAUUUGGGGACAAAAUGCUCUCGCAGGGAUGGGGAAUCUGUGGUCUUCCAGAUGUUGAACUAUAGUUCUCAUCAUCCCUGACCAUUGCUCAUGCUGGCUGAGACUAAUGAGCAGUGAGGAUCCAAUGAAAUCCAGAAUGCCACAGGCUCCUCCCCCCUGGUCUGCAGGCAAGAUCACUACCCUGCUUCAAGUCUUAAUGAUCUUGGAUAAUUCUGUUCAGGAUUCAGUACUUCUACUACUAAAUAUCUACCAAAAGCAGAAGAAUGUAGCAAUAUUACCUAAUUUCAUGAUCUAAUAAAGGCUUCCUCAACCUCGGCCCUCCAGAUGUUUUUGGCCUACAACUCCCAUCUAGCAGGACCAGUGGUCAGGGAUGAUGGGAACUGUAGUCUCAAAACAUCUGGAGGGCCGAGGUUGAGGAAGCCUGAUCUAAUACCAUCUGGUUAUGCAAAUCCAUAUGUGUCCACUUGUCUGCGUAUGCAUAAAUGCAAGUAAAAAUGGGCAUACUAUGCCUAGUCAGAUGCCUCCAUGAGCCAUCAUGGCAGGUGGGCAGGGCUGCCAACCUGUCAGUCACCUGACAUCAUACAAAAUCAUGUGAUUCAAAGUCUAAUCCAUUGGAGGAGGUUAAAGGCCUAUCUGCAAUCUUAGUGAUACAGUUCCAUUUAGUCUAGGUGUUUAAAUCAGGGAAAAUAGGUCUCUGCCCCAGACACCAUAUGACAUCAGGUGACAACUGGUGGAUGUGGUUUGCCCAAAGUGGUUUGGUGGACCAAAUUUGGAGGCUAGUAGACCUAAUUAGGCCUGCAGGCUAGAAGUUCCCUUCUGUCUAAUGUCUCCCUAUACAGGCAAACCUCUGAUAUAUUGUGAGUCCAGUUCCAGACCACCACAAUAAAGCAAAUAUUGCAAUAAAGUGAAUAAUAUAUUUUUGUUUGUUUUCCUGGCUGCAGGGGCAGGAGGGGAAAAUCUCAGCACCAGUCCUAGCCAGUCCUCCACUCCUGUGGCUGAAAGAGGGGCAGCAGUGUUGGUGGUGGUCUUCCUUCCCCUGGAAGUGGCUGUGCUGCCUGCAGCUGCACCCACAUCCACGUAAGGAGCAAUAUCUGUGAAGCCCAAUAAAGCAAAGUGUGAUGAAAACAAGGUAUCCCUGUGCAUUGCUGGCUCCAUGAGUGUACACUGCAUCAUAGCAGCUGCAGGAGGCAGAUUUAGGCUGUGAGUCUACCUUCACUUACCUGGAAGUAAGUCCCAUUAAACUCAGUGGGAUUUACUUCUGAGUAGACCUAGUGAAAUAAAUGGACCUACAUUAACCAUGUUCAUUAACUUCAAUGGGUCUCCUCUGAGUAAAAUUUAGUUGAAUGCCAUUCUCCAUUAAUUAAUUUAUUGCUAAUAUGGUUGUACCACAUGGGAUGGGAACACCAGCUGGAUUUCCCACCUCAGGCACCAAAAUAUGUUGAACCAGCCCUGCUCCUAUAUUUUUCUAUCGAUUUAUAGCCACUCUCUUCUCCCAAGACAACUUUACGGCCUCUGCCAGCUAACAGAUCAGAUCAUAUUGUUUGUUUCAUUUGCUUUCUUAACCUUGCCUCACUCUAAAUUCCAAUGUCUGCCUUGAUGCCGGCUGCAUGUUUGACAUUGUUUCAAGGUCAAUAUUGCUGCAAAUAAGCUCCAGAAUUUCAACCACACUACAAAUUCUCAAUAAGCAGUUCAUAAGCAGAUUCCUCAUUGUUCCUAGGUAAUGACAAAGAAUAUCUCAUUUAAAAGCAAAAGCCUUGGUAGAUUUAAUUUGUUUUGUUUCAUAUCAGUGUGUUUGCACAAUGUUGGAGUCCAGCUAGUUUGAAAUUAGCUAAUUUAAAAUUGCCAAACAAAUCAAUUGGGUCUGAACCUGCUAUUAUAACCUCGGUCUGCUCCAAAGUGGGGAAAUACAGUUGUAUUUUCAGUGCAGUUCCAACCUGCCUUGCGAGCAUCGCUUCUGUGCUUCUUAUUGAUUUCCUGACUCAUUUGCCUCUUUUCAAAAUGUUGGCAGACUAAAUUUGUACAAAACAUAUUCAGAGGUGCUCCCCCACCCCUUUUAAUACUACAAGCCACCACAUGUCUAGCUUUAGUGAGACCAAAGCUCACAAACUGUUCUCCCAAGUUCUCAUCUCUGAUGUAAUACCCAAGAGGGAUAUGUGAGUAAGUUUAUGUUAGAAAGCAGCAAUUAAAUUGCUGAUUGGUUAGGCUGGUGUGUUGUUGUUUUUUUCGAAAAGAUCCACUCUCUUCAAGAACAACGGAACUGUAGGUCUAAUUAAAAGCCCGUAAAUAGCAUCACCAAAGCCGGUGGGAUUUAUUGCAUCCUGAACUGUAGUCAUGCGCUCACCUAUCUUAAUGAAGCACAAAAUGACAGUGUUUGGGCUUGAGUCCUGCAUAUACACCUACUGGCGUGUUUAUGUAUAGGUAGAGCUGAUGGGACCUUCCACCCAAAUCAGUAUCCUCCCUCUCAGCAGAUACCAGUCAGGAGGGAAGGCCCACAUAAUCCCUCGUCUGGCAGGAAGAGUUAUACACAAUGGCAGCAUGGCCGGUGUCAGAGGCCAGCAUCUACCCUCAGGAGGGCCCAAUUGAAGUCAUUGAGAUGUGAUCUCCAUGUUGCAGCCAAAUGUGCUUACCUGCUUUAGCGCUGGCCCACCUGCCUUGCCUCGACUGUGUCAGAACUGGAAAUGAAGAGCUCAUGAGAAUACACAUGCCCUAUCACAUCCAGGUGAAGGACAAUUCUGAUCAGCCAAUUGGCGGGGAGAACAAGUCUCCUGGGAUUGGCUGCACUACUGAAAUGGAGAUUUGGUGAUGCAGAGAACUCUUGAAGGAAGCCCACCUUGGAGUCACCAUCUAUCAGCUGAUAGUCGGUAACUUCAAGCUCACAAGAUUGGCAGUGCUACCAAGUUCUCCAUGCAGAGAGCAAGCUAGGAGUCACCACUUAUCAGCUGAUUGGUAGUCACUUCACACCCUACUUGGCUUCAAUUUAUACUUUUUGGUGUGACUUGAUAUGUUACAAAGGAAGAACGGUUCAUUGGGUAUCAUAGUGUAACUAGAUAAUGAUUGCCAGAUGGGUGGAGCUCUGCCCACCUUUCAUAAUGGCCCACCAAGGUGGGGGAUCCCAGGAUCUGGCCCACCAGCCAGAUCCAGUUCCCUGCUCCUGGUGUGUUGCAGUUUGCCAUCACAGUCACAUUGAAUGAUCUAGGUCAAGUCACUGUUAGUUAGCAUCAGUUCUCCAACUGUAAUAAUGGGAAUAAUGAUGCCCUACCUCACACAGGAAUCCAACCAUUGUUACUCUUGCCUCUCUCGCUUCCUCUCUGCUGAUUCCAUGCCAAUGUUAUAAGACGGGUGCAAAAUGACUAUAGACAUAAUCCAGGCAUGGGGAACCUUUGGCUUUCCAGACAUCACUGAAUUACAACUCCCACCAUCCCUGGCCAUUAGCCAUGCUUGCUGGGAUUGAUGGGAGUUGUAGUUCAGCAACAUCUGGAAAGCCAAAUGUUCCCCACACCUGGCAUCAUGCUUUUCUGUGAGGCAUAUUAGUAGACCCCUGCAGGAACAAGCACAGGGAUUCUACUCUGUUUUAAAAUGUUUUUAACGUUGUAUUUUAAAAUUGCUGUGGCCCAGCCUGGGAAUGUAUGGUGAAGGGCAAGUAAUUAAUCAGAUUAAAUUUAUUGUUGUUGUAAUAAGUGAAAUUUUUGAAUUAUGGUGCUGGAGGAGACUCUUGAGAGUCCCAUGGGCUGCAAGAAGAUCAAACCUCUCCAUUCUGAAGGAAAUCAGCCCUGAGUGCUCACUGGAAGGACAGAUCCUGAAGCUGAGACUCCAAUACUUUGGCCACCUCAUGAGAAGAGAAGACUCCCUGGAAAAGACCCUGAUGUUGGGAAAGAUGGAGGGCGCAAGGAGAAGGGGACGGCAGAGGACGAGAUGGUUGGACAGUGUUCUCGAAACUACCAGCAUGAGUUUGACCAAACUGUGGCAGGCAGUGGAAGACAGGGGUGCCUGGCGUGCUCUGGUCCAUGGGGUCACAAAGAGUCGGACACGACUAAACGACUAAACGACAACAACAAUAAGUGAAAUAGAUACUGUACAUAGUGUCCCACUUCCUUUCCUCCUUCUGAUCCUCAAGGUGUGAGUAAGUUGCAAGUCAGGACACCAAGAAUGAGAUUCACAAGUGGUUGACAUGAAACUCCUAGUACCCACCGUGCUAUAGUGCUACUUGUUCCCCAAACUGCAUCAUGUAGUAGGUAUAAUGUUCCCCAGGGAAGGGAAGGGAAGGGAAGGGAAGGGAAGGGAAGGGAAGAGAUGUGGCCCAAUUGGAUCUUUUGACAAUCCUUUUCCCAUGGAUACAGCUAUGCCCACAAAGGGAUAGAAUGCUAUACAUUUCCAAUGAUAAGGUUUCUUAAUAGAAAUUGACUUUAACAGAAUUUACAAGCCCAGCCAUGUGCAGCACUGCAGCCAAAAAGCCAAAAGGUUUUUUAAAAAAUAAAAAAUCACAAUCUAAAUACGAACACUUUCCCUCCCUCCCUCCCCCUCCCUCUCUCUCUCUCUCUCUCUCUCUCAUAUCAAACCACUCAUUUAAAUCACUUGCAAAUGAGAAAAACUAUUUCCUUGUACAUAAAAAAAGAAUUAAAUUGAAUAUAAAUGUGCCUGAUGAAGUAAAUAGCUUCAUAAUGUGUUUAUAUUGCAAAUUGCAUCCACACAGCAUAACAAACAACAAUCCUAUCACCAACAGGAUAAUAUGUAUGCGGAAGAAAACCUUGCAUGACUUGCAAAAUCACCAGGAGUCUAUCAAUGACCUUCAAAGAACGCCUUAAUAGGACUUGAAAUGACAGCCAAUGGAAAAGCCUUUUGAAAUGUGCCCUGUAAUGGCACAGGAGGAAGAGAAGCCCUCCAUAAGGGCACUUGAAUAGCCAAGUCAUACAGAAGCAUCUUCAUUUGUACUUUUUCUUGUAAAUCAUUUGUACCAUGCCCACUUGAUUCUAAUGGAGCAUCCAUUAAAAGAUCAGAC